rnacentral:lncRNA from 1 species
GUACGGGCGGCACGUUCGUUCGCCCGCGUGUGUGCCACCAGAUUUUUCGUACGACGCGUUUCCUUGUGCGCGCGUGAUUCCGCCGGUGCCUACCUGUACCCGAACCGCCGCGUCCGUUUUCCCUCCGGCAGAGUAUUCGAAUAGUAAAUAUUUUCUACGUGUCCGUUUGCCGACCGCGAUAACCGUCCCGACGAUUUGUUUAUCGCCGUUUUAUUUCGAGGGAUUUGUUUUUUUUCUCAAACGAAUUUUCCGCGAUUUUCGAUAACCUCCUCUAACGAUCCGAGCGUACCACUCGAUGUCCACGGGAUUUCCGUAACCCCGACAACCCGUGUUCGUACCGCGCCGCCGCGAGCGAUCACACGUCGACCCGCGACGCGCGGAUAAAAGGCCUAUUCGCGCGCGAUCGUCGCCGUCCCCGCCGUAAAUCACCACGGACAACGGAAUGCGCCGCAAAGGCCGCCGGCCGCCGCCGGCGCGACUCGGACCGUCGCGGUGGCCGUUGCUGUUCGCCGCCGCCGUCGUGCUGCUGACCGUCGUCGUCGCCGUCGUCGGAUCGGACGGACAACAAGCAGGUAAGCGGAGAUUUUUAACGUCCCAGUACCUGCAUCACUGCGCGUCUUCGUCGUCGUUGCGUGCGUGCGUGCCAAUGCACGCGAGCCCGCGUGUGUGUGUGUGUGUGUGUGUGGCGCGCUACGUGCGCUUGUGCGUGCGCGCUCGCGUACGUACGUACGUACGCGACAGCAACCGGUUUCUCGUUCUUUCUACCUGCAGCUCUUUGUUACACGACACCGGUGCAGCGUAUUUUUUUCUAUUUUUUUUCCUCCCGCCGCCGACGCCGCAUCAGUUCCCCCCCACUCCCGUCGUACGCGACCGCCGCGUUUCUUAUACUGUAGUUGCCCCCACACUCUCGGCAAUAAUAACAAUAAUUAUUAUUAUUAUUCCGACGACGGCGACGACGACGAUGAUUAUUAUUAUUAUUACACGCAGCCGUCGUUCCCCGCGUGUACGGCCCGUGCAGAGUUACCUGGUACGCGGUGCGGCAGGUGUUCCACGCCGCCGCGAGAAACCACCGGUUAGGUCGCUGUUGCCGCGGCCCCCGUCGAAUAGGCCAGACGACAAAGGGAGCGCGUCUUUUUUUUUUUUUCCCACCCUCGCCGGCAGCCAACCCCGAAUCUCGAUAACGCGCGACGGAUCGGACCGGGACGUGGAUAAUACGAGAGAAAAAAAAAUACGCUUAAUAACGCGGUAUACGAAAUUCACCUCGAUCAUCCCGCGAUGACCCAAAUACAUACGUAAUACGUGAUAUUAUUAUUUGUGUAUUAUUGUCCCGCGCACGUUUUUCGGCCUGUCACGGGCCCGUCUUUUUUUCUUUUUUUUUUUUUUUUUUUUUUUCACCCGCCCGGUCGAUUUUUUCCUACCGUCCGGCGCGCGUUUUCAUCGGGACGGCGUUUUCGCCGAAUUAUUCGAAUUUUUCCCGCCGUUAUGCCGUCGAAACGUAACGGGAUACGUCCAAUUAUCGGGGUAUUCGAGCGUAUUCAAAGGCCGCGGAGACUCGCUGUAAAGUCGUCGCGACGCCCCCUCAAAGAGUUAACGACCACUCGAAAAAUAUCAACAAAAAAGAAAAAAAUUCGCUCAUUUCUAAUUGGGAAUCCGUCGCGUUUUCGUCGUGUUUGGCAAUUAUUAUUGAGUUUACCUACAAAGUUGCCCUCUACACACACACACACACACACAUAUAUAUAUGUGUCUCGUGUUAUAGACGUGCGUGUGGGCCGACGCGAUUUCAGAUAGAAAAAUAAAGAAACUCUGCCGUUUUUAUGUUUCCGAAAAACCGUCGGAUAAGUAAACACUACCGCUCGUUUUUUCUCGCGUCGCUCGUUAUUCUCGUACGUUGUAAUGUUGCGAAACGCGCGCCCCGAAGACAAAACACAACUCGUUUGGCGCGUAAUAUUAUAUUCUUGCCGAUACGUUUUUUUUUUUUUUUUUUUUUAUUUUUUUUUUUAAUCGUCGGCAAAAAAUACGCGCGUAAAAACGUGCGGUAUUUCGUCGUAUCUAAACGUCUCGACAUUAUACUAUUAUUAUUAUUAUUAUUAUUACGGCCUUCGGAUAUUUCCUCGACCGUUCGAUCGGGUUUUUGAUUAAUCGAACGGUACGAUUAUUCCGUUUCCGUAUUUAAAAAAAAAAAAAUUGUGUUGAAAUAUGGUUUGAAAAAAAAAAAAAAAAAUGUCCCGGUCGCGGAUUUACGGGACGAGAUUGCGUCUUGGUGUUAUUUUUUUUCCUCCCCAAAAGCCGUACAAUUCAAAACUGGUACUGGCCGCAAAACGCGAAACGACCCGUGUCUUUUUUCCCUAUAAUAAAGGACUUGUCGAUACCGCAACGUCGUCGCGCGUCCAACGUUAUCCCGGACACAAAAACCUCUCUGGCGUCUAUCGGCCCCCCCGUCAUAAAGGGAAAAACAAAACGGAAUCCCGGACGUCCGCCGCCGAUAUUGCGUGUCCGCACGGUGCGCCGGGUGACGUCGGUUGUCCGUCAAUCUGUUAAUCUGUCCGCGCGCGUUCGUUUUCGCGCAGAUAAAAUGUCGAUAGCCGCAACGGGUAAAACGGAAAUCGAAUCGCAACUGCCGUUGACUCGUCGAACCGGGAAGACCCGCGGAACCGGACCUGUCGUAAUUACCCGCAGUGAUUACGAAACGCGAUAACGUUCAUUGUCAUCGCAUUCGGCGAGGGGCCCCGUCCGCGCGUAAUUCGUUUUACUACCGGUCCGUCUCGCGCGCCGUCCCGGCCGACCGCCGCUGGUCGGAAACCCGGCCGUUUACCGACGCGUGAUACCGAUACGCCGGCAAUCGGCGUAUUCUCCUCCCCCCCCUCCCCCCUCGCCUAACCCUCCCCGCCGUUGUACCGAAAUCGACGGUUUUAACAAUAAAAAAAAAAAAUCAACGCCAUCGAUUAAAUAUUUUAAUCAAUUACGCACAAAUUAUUAACGUGUGUCGCCCACCUACGCUGUACUUGCCGUUUCCCGCCAAUAUGUACUUGACAGAAAUUAAUUUUAAUAGGUGUUUGAAUUAUCGUUAUCGAUUAAGUUAUUAUUAUUGUUGUUUCGGGGGGUGGAAUGAGAACGGACGAAACCGGCGUGAAAAUGGUUUCGCACCGUAUUCGCACCGUUUGGUCGUGGGAUUUAUUUUCGUUCGCGCAACGAGGGCAGUAGUAAUAGUUAUCAGCGGUUAAAACGCGCGUUUGUUCGCGGCAAAAACGAAAAAAAAAUCUUUCGGGCCGCCGCGCGACGAGUGCUCGUGUUUUUCGAAACUAUUAACGGGGGGUAUCCUUUUGCCGCCCGGGACUCGGCCGCAAUCGUUGAAAUGCGAAACGCGUUCCGCGUCCGUCAUUGGCCGUUACGCGUAUAGGUUUUCAGAUUUUCGUUCGGCGGGCACGACUCGUAUGCGGGCGAAUAUUUAUAAUUUUUUUUUUUUGUUUUUCUAAUCUAUCGCCGCCAAGAGGGACAUCUGGACGCGGAGAUAAGGACAUUGUGCCGGUCGUCGCCGUUCGUUUUCUCCCGAACAUCCAUACGCGGGGUGUACGACCGCGGGGAAAUGUCGCGUCGGCUGCACAAUGCCAACUGUCCGAUCGUGUUCGCUUUAUCGAAACCGUGCCAUAACCGCCGCGUUCGUUUCGUCGUUCGGUUACGGAUGUUUCGGCGACCUGCGGCCAAAAAGUCACGGCCAAAGCAAUAGCGAAACGCGCCGCGAUAACGGCGACUGUUGUUGUGUAGAUUCUGAAACGCCAAGACGGCGUCGGCGUACCCGGAACGUUUUCUAAUGUGUCAUUUUGAAUCCACCACGUCCCGCACGUGUAACAAUAUACGUGUUCAAAGCAAAACGACGCGAACGCCGUCCCGAGCCGUUCGUUUUUUAAUAUAAUUUUUUUUUUUCCAUUUUUCCGUCACGAAUUGAACGAACGCGUUCGAAUCAUCGAAAAAUAAUCGCCGACAUUCCCGGGGCCGGCGCAACCGAAGCGGCACGAUGCCGCGCGUUCAACACACUGUUGCUCCGGUUUUUUUUUUUUUUGUAUUAUUAUUCAUCCGCACUCAUUUCAAUAAAAAUUCACCGGCCGUUUUAAACGACGUUUAUUAUUUUCGCGUUGAAUACAAUUCGCUCGCCGAUUACAAUUAUCAUUGUACGCGCAUGUGCACGUCGACAGUUGAAGAAAUCGCGAAUUUUAAUCGUCGCCGCAAUUAUUAAUUAUUAUGCGGCCGACCAACGAGAUAAACGACGCGAACCGAACGUGGAGAUUCGCAAACAUUCGUUCGUCGCUGGCAACAGAUUUCUGUUGUUUUUUUUUUAUCUUCUUCUUCUUCUCCUCUAUAAUCGGUGCGGUAUGCCGAACUGGGUAAUUAUCGAUUCGGUUGUGGGAAAGAAUUUUUUUGUUUUCUUUUUUAUUUACCGUAUUAAAUCGGCGUGUUCGGACGGAGAAGUAACCCGUCUUUUCCUAGAAAAACCCGUCUUAUCGAAACGAUAUUUCCCCCCCCCCUCCUCCUCAAAUUGUUAACUUUUAGCGAAUUUCAACGAAAUUUCGAUUCUAAUGUGUAUUCGCCCGCACCGUCGGCUGGCGGCGCGUGCUACACGCAUAUUCGUGUACGGCGUCUUUCCCUCGGAUACCUUUUAUCACAUUCCCCCCCCCCCCCCCCCCCCCCCCCCGAUUCUUCCACGGUGUUUAUUUGUUGGGUGUUGUAAAACGUACAACGCGCUUUUUACGAAAACGACCCGCGCGCGGUCGUCACCGCGAAUGUAAACAACGACUCGGCCGGUAGGUAGGCGGCCAAUGAGAACGGCCGGACACCAUAGAAUACUGUAAUAGUAAUGUGCUUGGUCUCCGAAAACGGAUAAUAUUAUUAGUUGCCGGAGAAAAACAUUGAUCUCGAAUAUUGUCGCGUUGUUAUUAUUACUAUUACCAUUAUGUACGAGCGUGUCAUGAGGUUUGUGACUUUAUAACAUUUUCACACGAGUCGGCGAACUGUGCUGCGGCGCGACGUCGCCGCCGCCGCCGCCGCCGCCGGUGUUUGUGUCAACAAGUGUCUCGGGGACGAUAACGAGGAAUGCUUGUUGUUUUGUUAUUGCAUCACCGUUGAUAAAAACGAAUUAUUGUUAUUAUAAUAUUAUUACACAGCGGUUAUGAGUCAUUUUAUGCGCACUGGUUGGUGUAGCGAUUUUGAAGUGCGCCUAUGCGAUCCAUAAUAGUAUUUGUCGCAAUAGUUUCCGAUUGCGAAACGCGCAUUCUCGGCGUGGUACACUCGAAGUGCCUCUAACCUAUGGAUAUGGUUGUUAUCGUGUUUGACGAACGACAUAAAAAAAAAAAAAAAUCGCCCGUUCGUUUUACCGUCGAAUGACUUGUUAUCUAUGACCGAGGGGAAAAAAAAGAACGACAGUUUUAAAAUUUUUGUAGAUGGAAAAAACAAAAAUGAUAUAUUAUAAUCUAUAUUGGAACAUUAGAACACUUUGGCGCUUGAGCGACUUUUGACAGACUAAGUUUAGUUCAUUCAAAUAACAGCGUGGAAGUAUGGAAAGGUCAUAGGCGGGGUCAUUGGUAAUUUCGAUGAAUGAAAGAUAUAUUGCAACCACUCGUUAAAGUUUUGAAAAGUUUUAACUUUUUUUGAAAAUACUGUUUUUCACGUAAUUUUUUUACAAAUUAAAAAUGUUUUCAUACGAAUUAUAUUUUUAUAUUUCAAUAUUUUAAACAAUCAUAUUGAAUACAAUUUUUUUUUUAAUUUUCAUAAUUAAUUAUUAUAUUUAAUAUGUUAGAACUGUUGUGUUUUUGUUUUACCGAUUACCGUUAUCUAUAGGUACGUUUUGUUUUCGUUUAGGUUACGUAAGUCGUUACCGCGAAUGCAGGAUGCCGAACGACAGUCUGUUAUCAAUAUCUUAUUGGCGGUCAGAAAGUUUUCAAUUCACAAUGUUUGACCCGUGCCGCUAAAUGGUUACGGUGGUUAAAUUCUUAAUUAAUUGUCGUGUAUAAUAAACCGUCAGAUUGAAUGCCUACAAAAACAAAUACGAACAAAUCAAAAGAUACGACAACUAUUUCAUUUCGCUUUAGUUCGUAUCGAACGGUACCCCGCUGUAUUUUAAACGUUGUCACUGUGGCGAAAAAGCGCGUUAUUCCGGAUUUCGGAAUUUUCAGUGUACAACUGAUAAGCUAUCUAUUUCGGCAUUUUGCAUAAUCUUAAUUCGCUGUCCGUUACUAACGGUUUGUUUUUAACGCGAUAACGGUCCUAUGCGAGGCCCUACAUCUAUCGCGUUUUUCGAAACUCCGUUUAUUUCACGUUCUAGAGGUUAAAAAUCAUUAUUGUCGGCCAUGACUCCGCCAUUAAUAUUAGGCGAUCAUUUAACGUGCUCGGGUAAAAGUAGAGUUGUAUUCAAAAUGUCGUACUCUAUUAUGCUUAUACCCGCCUGUAUUUACCUGGGUAAUGCAUACAAUAUAAUCGUAUAUGCGGUGUAGGUAAUUCAGUGGUUUAUUUGGAAAGGCCCGAAUAAAAGGUUACGUGGACGAUACUAAUUCAGAGGGACAUUUCGGCUGUAAAAUACCUGUGGAGGUGUACUCCGCCGAAACACGAUAUUGGUACUUAUUAUUUGAUUAACCCCAUCUAAUAAUCUUUUAAUUUAAACCGUUUGAUUACCUAGGUACCUACCGCAUAUAAUAGAUAAAUACAGUUUGGUAAUAUAAAUAAAUAUAGGUGACGUUAAAUAAAAUUACGAGGGCUUUGAGCUUUGAGAUUUUCCACUGAAAUAAUAAAGACAUUGACUCGGAUGUUACGUGUAGGUUAGGUACAUGCGUGUCGAUGCGUAUUUUUUAUCUGAAUUUUUACAUUUAUAUUUUAGUUAUUAUGCAAUCAAAAUUAUAACUGUUGAUCGUUUCUUAUUUUAUUUAUUUUUUUUUUUUCAACGAACAAAUAUCGAGAUUAUUUAUUAUUUACAUUCCGUAUAAUUUCUUCGCACACGGUGUUUCCUAAAAUUUACCACCACGAAAAACGGUUAUUAAGAAAUACAUAAUAAUGCACUGUAACGAUCGUGUAGGUUGUUGCGUAUUCAAUGUUAUUUUCGUUGGGCGCCACAUGGAUGAUACCGAUGUAUCGGGAGGAAUAAAAACUAUACGAAUUUUAGAGUUACUUUACAUAACAUAUUUGUGUAUAUAUCUUUAUUUGUUCGGAUCCAGUUGUACUUGACGCGAAUAUUGUCAUCGCAUAAUACGAUACACUAAUCGCCCCCUAUUAGUUGUUUGUAUCGACGAACUACAUAGCACCACAGUUGACAAGAACUCAAAGGCCCCGUACUCCGUUCGUUGUAUGUAUGCUUACACCCGCCAACCAUAUUAUUCCUUGUUCGUAUUGUUCGUGGUCCACGUAUGCACGCUUUGUAGAUUGAUAAUUCACGCAGUUGCAAGUAAUAGGUAUUCUUACUAAAGGGGUUUUUUUUUUUUUUUUCCUAAAGCAAUUUCUCAACGUGAUAUAAAUUGCCAACAAUUUGAGAUGGAAAUAAUAGUGUAUGCGAACUCCUAUUAAAAUGUUAAUGUUUAACACAAAAUUAGGUUUUUUUUUUUUUAUUACCAUAAUUAACGAAUUUAAAGUCGAAAUACUUGGGUACUUAAAGCUUUACUAUAUAAUCAGUGAUGGUUGUUUUCAUAAGAAUACGUUUUGCUGUCUGCUAAUGAUAUUUCCGAGAACCCGCCCACCCGUAUCCGUUGAAGUAUUAUAACUUUUAGAAAUCAUACUUAGUAAAAAUCUAGAAAACAUAAAAGCUGGAGAAAAAUCAACCCCAUUAUGAUAUGUUAUGAACUCAAUAAAGUUCCAUCAAAUCAUGUUUUCGAUCAACUCAUCUACCCACCUAUACCAAAUGUUGUAGGUAUGUAUUGUGUCUGUUACUUCAGCAGCACUUUCGCCACUUGGUACCUAUAAUUCUUUUGUAUCUAGUAACACACGACGGUUUUGGAGAACACGUUUGUCCCAUACUGUAUUGUAAUAUACAAGACGCUAGGAAUGUUUAACAAAAAAAUAUAACAAUAUGGUUUUUUUUAAAACGGAUAAAAUUUGGAUUUUACGAUGGUGUUUAAAAGAAAGAAAAUCUACUUAUAAACUUUGAUUAUAAUAUUUUAUAUCGCAAGUACUUAUUAUUAUUAUUAUUAUUUUUUUAUAUAAGAAAAUCGGUCAUGUUCAUUAACUAUACCUAUGUUGCAGUGUACUUACCCGUGAUUUUAGGAAGAAGAAAAAAAAAAUUACAAAACGCUAUAUUUUUUUUUUUAGGUUAAGGACCAGUACAUAAUAUACAAUCGCGCGAGGUAAAUUAAUUAUUUUAAAAUCUCACGAAUAUUUUAUGCAAUACGCGUAUAUAUUUUAUAUUGUAGCGCUGCCUGUGUGCAUUAUUGCUGUUUUUCUCAGACUUUUUUUUUUUAGUACAUAUUUUAGUGUGUAUACUCGGGUAUUAUUUUUUCUCCGUUUUGUGCGUCUUCCACUCCAUUGUACCAUCUAUGAAUACGGGAGAAAAAAUAAACAGACAUACCUGCUUCGCCGACUUAUACAACGAGUAUACAGGGUCGUUAACUUAUCUCAAACGAGGGAUUUUCUCGAGGAUUUUAAGUGAAUUCGAUUUCUGUUUUUUCGUUUAGUGAAUCGUUUAAGUUUUGUUUUUACAAUGUUUUCGAAUUUUUACCCCUAAUAUUUUCAAAUAAAGGAUAUUUGUUUAAACAUUUUGAUAGGCACGCACCACAAUAUAUAAUAUUGGAUUUACUGUUUACGCAUUAUAGCAGUUUAAAAUUUAAACCGUCCGGAAAUUUGUUAAAACAGAGUUUGAAUGAUUUCAUGAUUAUUAAAAAAAAAAAAAAAAUCUAAUUUAAUUUGAUGAAAUCACUGGUUUGUGAUAAGUUGAUCACCCUGUAUAGUGAAUUCAAACGUGUGAGACAUUUGGUGAUACAGUACCUAUAUCUGUAUAAAACGUUCUUCUUCUCGUAUUUUUUUUUUUAUUUUGGUUCACAAUUAGGUACAAAGUAAGUAAUGAAUAGUGGAAUAAUUAACGUGUCUAAUUAUCGAACAAAACGAAAGCUAUGAGAACUAUGUUUAAAAACCAAAAAAAAAAAAACCUCACGUUCUAUUGUAAACUAAUAAUAAGCUAUAUAAAGGUAUAAUUUUGAAAGGUUUAACAUAACGUAUAAUAUUUAUAGUAUUUUGUUUGUGUUUUUGUUUGAUUUCCGUUUGAUUGCCAAUUUAUAAUAAAUGUUCGUGGAUUUAGUCAUUGCUGUGGAAAAUGAGUUACAAAACUAUACAGCUAAAGUUUUAAUAAACCUAUAUGUUCAUAAAAACUUCGAUAAAAAUAUUGUACCUAUCAGAAAAAAAAACAACAAUUUAAUAGUUACUAUUAAGUCCUUUUUAAUUACAGAGAAAAAAAACAUAAAACAUAUUUUAACGUAGGUAGGUGUAAUAAUAAUAAAUUAUUAUUAUUUUAAUCCUUUUUUGUAAAUCUGCUGCAGUUAAAAAAAUCUAAAAAUCCUCGCGAGUAAAACGAAUCAGUGAUGUGUAUAAAAUAAAAUUACAGGAUGCUGCUCGUGGGUAUAGGCCUCAAUUGUGUGUGGGAAGUUGGGAUGGGAGGAUAUUGUAUAGAGUAAUUUAGUUUAGGUAUAUGUAUUUGACGAUUAAUCAAAAAUCGAUUCUGAACGAAGCUCUGUACAUCCGUAAUCGUCAGAUUGGCAAUUUUUAAACUAAUCUCGACUUUCUUACGGCCAUCAUAUAGUUUAUUUUUCCAUGAAAUAGUUCAUUGUACCAUGAUUUACUCUGCGUGACGUCAGUUUCGAUGCGCACUGUUAUCUUGCUGUCAUGCUUGUUUAUUUGGCCACGGUAACAAUUAACCGUGGUAACAAUCACCCGUGUCUCAUUCACAUACUUCGGACCACAGUAUUAUAGAUGCGGCCAUUGGUAGUGGUUCGAUAUCGACCUUUUAGCUUUUACAUUUUCAUUAACAACGGCGCAAUUAUGGCAUCUUGUUAUGCGGAUCAAAAACACAUUUGAAUAAUUAGGGCCUCAAAUAACGCGUCCCCCUUAUAUUUGUCGAAUAGAUUCGAAAACGCAAUAUUAAUAAUUAGGACUAGGAAAUUACAGUAGCAGUAUCGUAUUAUUGUUCUGUAGGUAUGCUCUGGGUUUGUAGCAGAUCGAGCUAGAAAUCCGUUCUAUACAAUGGAGAUUGUAAAAAUCCGAAUAUUUAAAACGCUUAUUUGGUCAAUUUUAGGGAAAAAGCGCAUAUUUCAUGUUGCAUAUUAAUACCAUCGGUUUUUAUAAUUCGUAUUCAAUAUUAUUUAACGUAUUUAUUUAGAUAUUUAUAUAAAUACUGAAAUAAAUUUCGUUUUAACCAUUUGUACAGAUGGUUCUUUUUUUGUUUUGCAUAUUUAUUAAACGUUUUGCAUAUUAUUUAAACGUACGUUUCGCAUACAUAUUCUAUCGAUUAGGACGUUUAUUUUCGGUUACUUUUUUUCCCCGUUCACGUUUUGCCAAAUUCGUCUCCCGUAACUCCCUACAAUCAUAAUUUUAGUACGGCUACUAUUGUGACUCCGGUUAAAAUCUUCUCUUCGUUGUUGUUGUUGUCGUCGUAUGUGCGCGAGACGCGACCAACAAUAAGUAAUUAUUAUUAUUACUAUUAUUAUACGAUUCGGGGUUUUGUACAAAUAUUAUUAUUAUUAUUUAAGCAGGCAUUCCGAAAUCCGGAAUUUCCGGUAUGCCGAUGGUUUAUGUUUAGGUGUACACUAGUAUACCUGUACGUUGUGUUGUAUACACGUGGAGGUAAAACACGGUUUGGUGCGCAAACACGACGACGACGACGACGACCGACGACGGCGGGUCCGAUUCGCCGGUAACCGUGGUUAGGUUAUUGUAUAUACGUGUAUAAUACUAUACACGCGUAUCGAAUGAUGAGGAGGCGACGGCGGAAGGAAAGGAAACCGUUAUACGGUCUCUUUAUUUUAUUAUUAUUAUUUUUACAUUGUGUCACGUACUCGUAUAUUAUAGCAGGAAGGUACACUUUACUGCGCGCGCGGGAUUUUGUCUGCGAAACCCGCGCGAGUUUGUCAAAAUAUUAUUAUAAUAAUAAUAUUGUUGUCUAUACCUUUAUGAUUAUAGCGGUCAACCGGCGAAAUUGUAAAAUCAUUUUUCUUUAAUUAAAAAACAACUCUCCCGCUUUUUAUCAUUAUUACUGAUUGUAAAUUUCGCGCGCUCAGGAUUCGGAUGACCGCGUUUCGUCCUAUAAUUAUUAUUAUUUGUCGGUCGUAAAUUUACAAUAUCCGUCCGUUUUUUUUUCGCCCGAGUUUUUCGAUAUGUUACAAGUUACAACUCCCGUCGUUCAUAUAAACGCGCGUUCGGACCGCGAAACCGUAUUACCUACUUAUAUUAUUAAGAUUAUUAUUGUAUUCGUGUUCGCGGCGAAUUCACAGACACAAUUUUAUUAGCAUACGAUAUCAUUACAUCGGUGUAGCCGACAAAUUGACAUCGAGAUAUUCCGGCUUCAAAACGUACAAAUCUCGCCCAGACCCCUCGAAAAAUCGCGUCAGGUGUAAACAAAAAUAGGAGUAAAAGGCAAAAGUCACGUCGGGCAGGUCAAAUCUUGAAGUUGAAUUGAAUAGCCGUUGAAUCUCGUUUAUCACGGUCCAGGGUCGUCAAUUCGUUAGCAUUAAAUUUGUGCCGAUAAUGAAUUCGAAUUUCUAUAGGCAUUUGGUAAUUUUCUCUUUUCGGGGUUACUGUUUGGUUUACUGUUAUAGACGUAGAAAGUAUUUAAAAGGAUUAAGUAGAUUUGUUAUAAGGAUUUUCCAACACAUAUGCAGCAAUUUAUACCGACAUUUAGUCCAAUCGAUAAGCGUUCUGAAAACUGAAAAUUUGACAUGCAAAUUUGGAAAUUUUUAAAAAUGUUUAAGAAAAAACUUAGUCACCAAUGGUCAUACAAUAUUGUUCAAUUCGCGUCAAAUUAAGAAUUUGUUUUCAGAACUUUUAUUUUCGUUUCACUAUAUCAUCGAUCGGACAAAAAAAAUGUGCGUUUCGAUUGUUUCGAGGACAUUAUUACCCGCAUUGAUUGUCUCAGUCCGAUUAUUAGUCUUAGAAUUACUAAGAAUUACAAUUUUGUCAUUGUAAGUCGCGGUCGAAGUUUAAAUACAGGACGGUAACGAAAUUUAAAGACCGAAAGAUAUUUUCCGCGUUGUUUUUUUCUUCAAAAAAAUAUUCUACAACAAAAUAACAAAAAAAAACCCCCUACCAUACGUUCGUAACUCUUUUGAUUGAUAAUAUUUUGGAAGAAAAACAACGCGGGGAAAUUUGCAUCUCGUUAAAUUUCGUAACUUGUGUUGAAUUUAAAUUCGACCUAAACGCCAUGAUAGGUACGUAUGCGGUCUUUACUUUUUUUUUUCUUGGCCUCUGAUUGGGCACAUUUUAUAUUCGUGUUUUUCUUCGUUAACAAAAAUUGUAAUGUAACAAUAUUAUAUAUGUAUUUACUACAAUCGGUUGUACUUGAAAAUCGGUAUGGUUUUAAUUUUAAUGUUAUAAAUUAUUACUCUCGGUUAAUUAAUUUGUUUGUUUAUGCAAAUAUUUUAUAACUGCCUCUAAUUAUACGCCGUUCGCAUUGUUAUCGUAGUUUUAUUUUCGAAUAUUGUAUUUUUUUUUCUUUUCUUCUGAAUUUUAUUUUAAUAUCGAGUCGAAUUUCUCACGGAUAUAAUAACUACUUUACCAUAAUAAUAUUAUAACAGGCGGCGUUUACAUUAUGUAUUAAUUUUUUGAAUCCGCUCGUUUUUUCACUAACCGAAUUUAUGAAAAAAAAUAUAAUAAUACUACGUACUAUGUAUAUACUCGUAUACUAAUUUUACGACGGGAAUGCGCACAUAGCAGUCGCUACUAAAUAAAUGAUUUUAGUCUCUUGGAAAAUACGUUUAAAAAAAAAAAAAAAAAUUGGCUAUAGGUUUUUUUUUUUGUUUGUUUUCGUUGUCCGUUCUUUGUAUCGCAAACAAACGCGAUAAGACGACGAAAUAAUAUAAUGAUUUUGCUUUCGUCAACAAGUUCUUUGUGUACAGACAUACAUGCAUACAAACGAUUAUAUUCGUUCGAAAAAUUAACAAUCAAAUAUCAACAGUAUAUUCUUAUACCUAAUAUUUCUUAGACGUGUUUUUUUUUUGUAAUUUUUUGCGAUUGUUGUCACGAGAAUUGGCGUAAAAAAUCGUUCUCGAAAUUCAAUUUGUAUAUUCCAAUCCGGACGCAACCGGUGAUCGUAUUGUAACAUGACAAAUAUUAUCGACGUCAUUGUGUAUAUAAGGUUAGUUAGAAUGUCACUUGAUUACUGCCUGCGUUUCAUAAUUAUAAACCGUUUUCUUUGAUGUAUACGAUAAAAAAAAAAUAAUAAUAAUAAUAAACGCUGAUAUAGUCGAGAGAGGUAGAGCCACAGAGAGAGAAAUAUAACGAAGAGGAAACUCGUGAUCUAAAAACGAACAUUUAUCCGUGAAAUUAGUGUAAUUAAUAAUGAUAAUUUUGAACAUCGGUGUCCUUGAACCGAUACAAGUAGAGGAUUUUCUUUUUUCAUCCCGCGGCAGAACGUAUAUGGGCGAAUAAUUUAUCGACCCAUGCUUAUAUAAUACCGACCCAUACCGUAUACCUACUAUAUAUAUAUAUUUAUUUUUUUUUUCUUCAAAAGAAAUACCUUUAUACGAAAAAUGAAAAAUCGCAUCGGGGAUAAAAAUUUAAAUUGAUAAAUAUGUAAAGUUUAUUGAAAAAUGUUUGUUUGAACGGUAUACCCCGUUCAAUAAUAAGUAUACCGGCGAGGCCCAAUUUUGGCGGAUAUUUUUUAUUUUUCUACGCGUGCGCAAUUUUCCGAAUGUUAUAACUCGUUUCGAAUAUUAAAAAAAAAUAUUAAUAAUACAUUCGAUUCGAAACUGCGCUUAGUUAAGUAGAUAAUAUUAUAAUAUUGUCCUCGCAAUACCGUCCUUUGCGCAUUAGCAGACGUCGUAUAUUAUACUUAGGCACCUAUAUUGUUUUACAAAAAUAAUCCACAAGUUUAUGCCCGUGUACGUGAAAACCUUAAAAAGAAUAGGUUAGUAAUUGAUAAAAUAUCGGUACUGUUUUACUAGGUUAUUAUAGGAAAAAUGCCAAUGGUUCCUUAUAAUGUUUCGUCAGUGGAUAAUACAAUUUUAAUUUAAAAUAUAUGUGUUCGCCUAACCAUUAGUUUCAAUGGCCAUGUGCAUGGAUUUUUUAAAAUACGUUUCAAUAUUUUUUUACUUUUUCAGCAGUUUUACAGAGUCAUAUCGAAUUUCUCAUACUUUAUACCCCGCAUUUUUUAAUGCUUGUGACGUCAAUUUUUCAUAUGUAUAAAAUGUCAUUAAAAAAAAAAAAUAAAUAUAUUUUAUUCUUAAAAUCGACCUGAAACUUUUAAACGUUUUCUGCGACACUAUUUGUGACGUACCUGUCAGUCAUAAACCGCGUUCAGUAGUGUUUUAGGUUAUUCUGGUAUACCUGAAUACUAUUAGGGCGUUAAUUUUUAAUUUUUAAUAGCUUUUCAAAAUAGAAUUCGGUUGGAGUAAUCGUACGGUUCAACGUCGUAGCCGUUGUUUAGUAUAGGUAUACAUUUAUUUCGAAAAACUGCUAUGGGAUUUUCUAUAAUAAAAUAAUAUCGAAAUAGUAGUUCGAUUCGGUCUGCUAAACUUUGGAAACCAUAACGUUAUAACGAUAACCGUCAUCGAUAUCCGGCUUAAUCCAUAUUGAUAACAAAAUUAUCACUAUCCGGUAUCCAUAAUAUGUCCCUUAAUUCAUCUGUGAUGGCAACUCACUGAAGGCACCUUGAAGUGAUAAGGGAACGUCGUUUUUUCGGUGUGAUCAUGAACAUAAUCUACAUAAAUACACCAAGCAAAUUUAAGAAUGGAAUCGCCUAUUUCUUGUGUUUCAUAAUUAAAUUGUUAAUUGAUUGUUAACUGUCGAAUGCCGCUUAAACUGAAAACGCUAUUAAUCCAGCUAUCAAAUCAAAAUAAUGUUAAACGUCGUAUUCGGGACUUGAUGAUUUUAAUCCAAACACUCUACAAUGACAUUGAUUACAGAUCAUACGAAAUAAUCGAAUUCUUUGUAUGAUUAAAAAGACGCGAAUAUCACACGAAAUGAAAAUAAUUUGGAAAAUCAAUGUUAUCACCGUAAAAUAAAUGAAAUAACAACCACAUCUAGUCCAUCAAAUCCAAUAAGCCGACGCGAAAAUAAAGUAGUGAUAAAAGAUGUUUCUAUCGGCGCCAUCCAUAGACAUAAUAAUAGAUGGACUGCGCGUUCCUACUCCCCGCCCUCAAUAAAUUCGGACGAAGCACGUUUGGACCAAGAACGUUUGGGCCACUAAUAAAACUGCAACCCGUCUGGACCAGGAUUUAGUGAACCCAUUUGGACCAAUACUUUUAAAUUUCUAUAAAGGCUCGCUAAAUAAACGUUCAGUUAAACUAUUAUAAUAACAAUUCUGGUCCAUAGAUAAUCUAUUAUCUAUGGUUUUAUAGCGUUACAUAAAAUGGUAUUAAUUGGGGGAGGGCCUGUGUGAUGCGAAUUUUUUUAACUUUUUGAUAGGAACAUUUUAGGCCCCGUUAUAUUUGGGCGGUUUAUAUUACGUUCUAAUAGCGUCUUCCUCUAAACUAACAAACAAUUGUAACAUAAUGAUAUUUGCCGUUUUAUCGCAAUAAUAUAUCGUUAAUUUGACGUAACGGCGUAUCGAACUAUAAUGUACAGAUCACAUUCGAAAUACUUAACAAUAAUAUCGUAACCGGCACCGUGUUUAAAUCGACGGUGUAAUUUUAUUUUAUGCUCGUGUAGAUAAUAUUGCACUACGCCGUCACGCGGAAUUUACGUUAUCUACAGUAAUGGCGGCAGGUGAUAGCAUAGGCAAAAAGUGUGCGCGAGUGCGGUCACACGGAAAACGCUGUAAGACAUUACAAUAGUUUUUUUUUUAUUAUCCACGGCCGAAUCGAACGUAAUAAUAUAUUCGAUCCCGUUUAAUAAAUCCGUGUGUCAUCUGUGUGUAUAAUAAUAAUAAUAAUAUUAAAAUCGACCGUGACCCGUGUUUUACACAGGAUGUUGGUAUUUAGCGGGGCUUAUCAAACCGUACUCGGAACGGCACUCGGAUCGCGCAUUAUCGGUUUUAUAGCAUUCGUCUUGUUUGUCUUACAAUUUAUUGUUUAGAUAUUACAGUUUAUAAUAGAAAAUUCAAUAUUGACACGAGUUAUCGGUUUUAAUUGUAUACAAGCGUUAUCGAGUUUCUUUCAAAUGAGUCAUUCGUUUAAUGUAUUUGGAUUUUUGAAGAAAAAAACCAACGGUUUCAACUAUCCGACUGUUCGUUAAAGCGCAGUUAAAAAACUGUUAUUUAUCUCGUUACACAAUUAAACUAUACUUUAUUUGAAAUUUUCAUUCGAAUUCCCUCUCCCCCUUUUCCCAUUUAAACAAAAAUCCGUUUCAAAAAUAUCAACAAAAAACCUCUACUGCGAAAUUUCCGUAGAUUUUCGCGCAAUUAAAUCAGUCGCAAAAUUUAAUUAUUAUUAUUCUCGUUUCUCCUUAAUGAUCAACCACUCUUGGUUUCUUAAUUGAUAUCACGUGUCGGGCGUGUACCAAUUGCGCUUGACCUUUUUAAUAUUUUCCCCUCCCCAUCUCCCAUACGAACUGUUCUUACAAGUGUCGGUAUAACAAUAAACGGGUUGCCGUACAAUAAAUUCACAGUUAUAUUGCACUUACAUUACCGCCCAUAUUUCUCGGGCUUGUCUUCGAUAAUCUUCAAGAUAAAAAUAUUAUGAAAACCGUUUUAAACAAUAGUCAAUAAACAACAAAAAGAAACCAAAAAAAAUGUCCCAGGAAAAAAACGAAAUAAACAAUGUAAGUAACCCGUACUUAAUAAUAAUAAUAAAAAAAAUAAACUCAGAAUUUAAAACCAGUUUAACUAUAAUGCGUGAAUAUCUUCCUCGAUGGCUCGGGUUCAUAUGUUUUAAAAAUAACUGUCGUUUUUACGUUGGCAUACAAAUUAUAUUAAAACCUAACCUAUCCUAACCGGGUUUUCGGUACAUAGAAUUGUAUAAACCAUGCGUCGUGUAUAAUAGGUAAUAAUUUUAUGUCGAAUUACUACCGAUUUAAAUCUAAUUAUCUUUUAUCGUUGAUUUAAUGUGUAUAAUCAUAUAACAUUAUGUUUUUAGUGUCCCUGAAUCAUUUUUAUUAUAAUAUCUUAUUCGAUUUUAAUGUUUCGAAAAACAGUGUUUUCGCGUUACUGCUGGACCACGUAAGUAACUUGUUACAGUUAUAGUCAUUUAGUGCCUAUACAUUUUUGUUAUUAUUUAAGGGGUUCGAUGGCAACAUUUACUAAAACUAAAUGUUUACAAUUCAACGUAAAAGAUAAAAAAAACUACAACUGUAUAAUAUCGAGGUACCUGCUAUAUAGAAUAGGUACUUUUAACAAUUUACAAUCUUAUAAAUAAUAUUUAAAAAAAUAUAUAGGCUAGGUUUUUUAUAGUAUUAUAGUGUUUAAAAAUGCUUGCUGUGCAAAAAAAUAAAAAUAAAAAUACGAAGUUUAAACGAUUAUUGUUUAGUAUACUAUAACGAAACGUUACGAAUGCGCCUGUAGUGUUUCUUCUUGACCUAGUGAUGAAAUAUGAAUUGUCUUUAUUAUUAUUACUAUAGUUAUUUUUUUUUUUAACGAAUGAUUCAUAAAAUAGGUUUGACUAAUAACGAUGUUUUUUCUCUUACUGUAAAAAUGAAAACAUUAUUAGGUAUACAGGCAGGUAGGUAUUAUAUACUUAUAAUUUUGUCCGGGAAGGAGGAGGAAUGCGAUUUAUUAGUUCAAAUGUUCAAACGAUGGUUUAUAAUUUAUUUGGGUAAGUAACCUAUAUAAUAUUGUUCGCGCAUAAUAAACUCGGACGAUGUAAUGGAAUAAAAAGUUAUAAACCUUGGAAAUGAAAAUUGCAUAAAUAAUUUACGUUUAUAGCGUAAGUUAGGAAAAAAUAAUAAUUAUUAUUAUUUAUGUACUAUAUUUAUUAGAUAUAUCAUAAACGUAAAAAAUAUUGGACACCCUUUAUAUAUAUAUAUAUUAUAUUUAUAGCUACUCAGGUUAGGUGUUCUACAAAACGUGUCGAUUUUCGUGUCUGAACGCUCUUGUCAACUCGUAUUAUUGUCAUCGUGUAUACGAAUCGAAUAAUUUCCGUCCUUUUGGCGUAUUUCGAUUAACCUCGAACUGCGAUUUUAUUGUUUGAUAUUAUUGUAUUAGCAGUAUAUUCUUUAUAUUAUAUUCGACGAACCAGGCCUGAGCAUGUGGGAAGGUGAUGGGAGUUUGGGGGGUUCAAACCUCCUCUCUAAUUGUAUUUUUUUUUGCAUCCAAAUAGUUAUAGGUAUCGAGUUUACAUCUGCAAUACUCUCCUGAAGUGAUGGAAUGUGCGGUCGAAAAAUUAUAAUUGCGUUUUUGACUUUUAGUCUUACCAAUAAUUAUUAGUGUAUUUCUUUAUUUUGAUAAAUUGUUUCUUUCGUAACCUUCUCCCUUCCCCCUACACACACACAUAAAGAAAUCCUGCGCAAAGGCCUGCGACGAACAACGUCUAAUAUCGCCCGGGAAAUCAAUGAUAUUUAAUCAUAAUAAUAUAUUAGAUAUUUGGUGAUUGUAAAUUCUGUCUCCUCCCCCCUCUUCGACCGUCUUUAUACUCUAUAACGGCGGUACUUCGGGAUCGUACUCCGUCGUCAUUAUAAUAAAUUAACGGUUGGUCGUGAAGUCGUUUUGGUACGUUAAUCGUAUAUUAUGAGGUACACGGUUUUUACGACGCGAUGUUAAUAGACGUACACCGAGUGUAUUAUACUGCACACGUUGCAGGAGGGCGGCGCAGGAAAAAUGGCCGUAACGAAUUUCGUCUGGUAUACUCUGGUCGUCGCGUAAUACUAUACAUUGUAUUAUUAUAAUAUAUAUAGGUACGUUAAAUUAUAAUAAUAAUUAUACGUACAGGGUGAAUUGUUUUAUCACGAAUCUCAACGAAGAUUUCGAGUAUACAGAGGCGUUUUGUGCCAUGCUUUUCUUAUCUCGUUCUGUUAUCAGUAAUAAUUGGAUCGUUCGGUUCCGAGCGAUUUCAUAGCACCAAUUAAAAACGCGCAUAAUAAUAUAUUAUGUUUUAACAGUAUAUUUUUAAAUACGAGUAUACUUAAAAACUGAGAUUUCGUUAAAUACAAGCUACUCGAAGUAGUGGCGUUUAGUAAUAAAAUAAAUACCUAAGUACUUCUAUGUAGAAUGCAGAAUAUAAUAAUUUUGAAGUUAUUUUACAUUUAUGCGUAGAUUUUUAUUUGUUUGGAGAUCCAACUAUCACGGAUUGUUUCCUAUAUACUACUAUGUCACAGUAAUCGCCUCUGUUAUAGACUACGUCCAUUGCGUUAUUUCGCACAGAAUCGUUCAGAGUAGUAUUAUUUCCAGCGCCUGAUGUGUAUAUCGGGCCACUGCAGAAUUUUAGUAUUUUCGCACUCCUGAAUUCGCAUGAAAAAUAAUAGAUGUGAAAUUCACAUCUAGGUACAUUUUUAUAAUUAUCAUAAAAACUGAUUAUAUACUUUGAUGAACUUAACGAAUCGAUCAAACAAAUUUCCCGAAGCUCUUGAGCAUUACGUCGAAUGAGGUUGACAAGGUGUACCUAAACAUAUUUUCAAAGUUGUAUUUUAAAUUUUAUCGCCUACCUAUAUACAGUUAAAACAUCUAAGCAAGUUAAUUUUUUGAGUAUCGCUCGAAGAAUGUACAAUUCAAUUCUAAUAAACGGUGUUUUUCAUCAAUUUUAGACUCUGAAAGAAAAAUAUUGUUAUAAUAAUGUAUCAUACCGUAAUACUCUUAUACUAUUCCGGUUUAAAUUUUAAACUUCAUAACCGAUAUUGACGUCAAGUACUUGUGUAUAAGUUAUACCCAUCAUGUAGUUGCGUACAAUUUCUAGACAGUUAUCUUCUUUUAUAAAAACCGUGGAUUUGAAAAUCAAUACAUUAUGGUCGAUACCUAUAUUAUUUUUUUUAUGUUUAUGGGUCAAAUUUUGAAAAAUAUACAUAAUAAUAAUACAAUGUUUGUGUAAAUGUUCUGAUUUUCCGAAUGUAUAAUAAAUGACAAAAACCACUAGAAAUCUUUUUCGUACAGACGAUCACCCUGUAUAUAUGUAAUAUAUAUAGUGUACCUACAAGUUACUACGCGGUGUGUAUUUCGGCGACAAUGAAAUCGGGUAUACAACGUCACCGUGUCGUCGGUAUCUUCCGCAGCGUCACAUUUUUUUAGUUCUUUUUUUUUACGGUCUAUCGUGCGCGCGCGAAGGCGGGCAACAAAAAAACAAUACGACGAAAGCAUGUACGGUAUACGGUCCAAUGAAUCAUUUUCGAUACACGUUUUGCAAUAAUAAUAAAAAUAUAUUCGCUUCGGAAUACCUACGGAGUAAAAUAUAUAUAUAUAAAUUAUAAAAAAAAAAAAAAAAUGUCCGUCGGCCGUCGUUAGAUGAAUCAUCCGCGAACGAUACUAUAUAAUAUUAUGUAAGUUUAGAUUUGGCGUAUCGGACGGCGUUUCGUCAUUUCUCGACCGGAUACGGACUUCCCCCGUCUGAACGGUAUUAUUAUAUAUCCGCACGACAGGCAAAAUAUAAUUCGGUAACACGAUUUACGGAAAUCUUUUAUAGAGAGAGAGAUAGAGAAAAGGAACUAUUCUCGUGUCUCGAUUGUUACUCGAUGUGUAACUAAACGUCGCGAUUUUUAGAUAAAUACUUACGUUCUUCCCCCUCCAGUCGUAGGGGACUGAUCGCGAGUUGGUAUAGUUGGUAUAACUGAUACAGUUGGAUCGAUGACGUCAAAAGUGAAUCUAAAUUGUAAUUAUAAUAAUUGUCGUGAAAGAACGGGAAAUGAUAACUCAUGGUAUCACUAUCGUAUAACGUAUAACUGACGUGUCGCUAAUGACUCAACGGUAAUUUGAUGUCAGUAAACGUUGAAAUCGUGAAGUAAUAAUAAUAACCUGUAAAACUUUCAAAUUUUCUUAUUUUGUUCGGUGAACUUAUGUUUGGAUUUCUACGAAUAGAUGGAUUUCAGGUGCAUCGCGUGUUCGAAACCAGUUUAAAAUGCAAAACCAACUCCUAUAUAACACUAUGAUAGGAUAGUCCAAUUUAAUAGGGUUUUUUUUUUUUUAGUUUUCGAUGUCACUGUGCGUUUUUUUUUAAACUAGUGCGAAUUUACGCAAAUAAAAUUUAAAAUAGAACAUUUUACUAAAAAAAAUAUCCUAAUUUAUUAUUACAUAUAUAUAUUUUAUAGCUUUACGAGCAAUUUUUGACUUUAAGCCACUAUAUAAAAUUAUUAUAAACGUUUCCCAAUUCCCAGAUUAAUGAGCUGUGCAAAAAUUCCGUCCAGUCCAUUACGAUGACGGCUAAUAUAAAAAGGCUCGGCUUGGCUCUUGAACCCAAUCGAAUUAUAAAAUACAAUUUUCAAAUCGCGUGUGCAAAAUACGUCUAAUAUCACACACGCGUUUGUAGUGGAAGUAGAGGAAUGACAUCAAGGCCGGGUGAAGUUUACUAGCUGUUUUUUUUUUGUUCUACGACUUAAUCAAUCAGCAAUAGAAUAAUAUAUUCCUCGACGACAAAAUAAUUGCAUAAUAAUAUCGAUUUGAAAAAAAAUGAAAAUAAAAUAAGAACGUAUUUUCGAGUAAAAGCUAUAUAUGAAUAAUCAAAGUUAUUAUAAUAUCUACCGAGAAUAACGAGUCUUUAUAGUUCAGACAUAAUUUAUUAUUCCGUAAUUUUAUUUAUGAAUUAUUAUUAUAACGAUAAAAUUAAUAUUUCUUAUAUAUAAGUGUUAUAAUAUUAUAGCGAAACUAUUGUAACUUUUGAGACGUUUACUAAUUUAGUCGACAAUAUAUACGUUAUUUAUAAUUUGCGUAAGUGGUAGGUAGUGCAUAUAUAUAUAGAAAGAGAGCUAGGUUUUUUUUUUUUAUAUAUAUAUUAAGUGUAUUUUAACGAAGGCGAGCGGAUCAAUUAAUCAACGUUUAACGACGGUUGAUAUCAUUAUAAUUUUAAGACCUUCGAAAUGUCGCGACGUUCUUUAUAAAUUAAUAUCGUGAACGAUAUAAUAGAAAUGGCCAAUUUUAAGAUUUUCCGACGACUAUAUUAUAGACCAUUAUAUUAUACUUUUCGAUGACCCGCACGCGUAUACUUUUUUUUUAUUAGGUAACAUUAUUGUUGCGUAUUUCAGAUCGACGAUAACAACAUCAAAGGUCCCGCCACCGCGAUUAACGACGCACCGCGGUUUUCCAUCGAUAAUAAUUAAUAUGUGAUAAGACGACCCUUCCCCCACUCAAACUUAUUGCACUCUUACGUACACACGGAUGUACAUGACGUAUACAAUAAACUAGAUUGCCAUAUUAUUAUAAUCACAUUAAUGGUUUCGGCUAAAGCCGCACGGCAGCCGUUAAAUUCGAGGCCCGUGCCCUUGGUGUAUACUUUUAUAUUGUGAUAACUGUUGAAUCGGUCUUUUUACCGCGGUGACCAAGACCGUGAUUGUACAUUCGGCACGAUAUAAAAGUGAUAAGGCUAACUAAAUUUUUUAUCGCCAUUUCAUUCGUAGUAUCCACAGUAAAUACUCUUAUUUAUACAAUUUAUAAUAAGGUCCUUUUUUGCUCUAAACUUAGUCGGAGAGUCGCAAUCGUAGGAAUGCGUGUGUUACUAGCACAUGUCCGACAGGGAAAUACAAUGUCACAGUGAAAAAGCCCCUUAAUAAAUAUCAAAAUACUAUAAUAUACGUUAAAAAUAAAACUUAAAAAACGGUCGAUUUACUUGCAUACAAUUUUGUUUUGAAACAACACUAGUAUCACUAGAAAGACUAAUCUUUCUAAAAACCUAUAUGUACCUAUAUUGUAUACAUAGGAGCAAAAUUUUUAGGAAAACGUGGUUGGAUGCAGUAGAAGAUAGGUCUAAAAACCGUAGGAGUUGAUAACUGGAGAGUAGUAAAGUGUAGUAACGACAAAAACUCUUAAAGACUAAAGAGAACAUGCCGGAAGAAAAAGACAUUUGGGUACCUUUAUUACAAACAGUAAAUUUGUAAAAAUAUUGAGCGAGUGUCGGAACCGCGCAUAUAGAAUGCAAAAGGUAACAUUUCGAUUCGAGACUUUUAAUUAAAACGUAAUAAUUUAAUAUUGAUGAUCAGUGCUGUGUCCGAAAUUGUUGUUUUAAUCCACUCUAAGUACACGGACGAACCGGGCGAAGGAACGUUUGCAAAGUGGACGACGCUAAAAUCGGAUUAUGUGCGCGUGAAAGACAAUAAUUAAUCCGGUGGUAUAUUUCUCAUUUAUUUGUACGAGUGCGAGUGAACUCUCCUAUUACCUACGUACCCGUACUAGAUUAGGUAUACACUUGUGUGGUCGAAAAGCGAAGGGAGGACGAGGUAGUAUAUAGAGCUGCAGCAGGCACGAGCGGAAUGGACUUGGAAAUCGAAUUAUUAUCGAGACAGGACAUUCUAUAAAUUAAGUUAUAGAUAUAUAGUCGUGUUGUCAAUUAGUUGAUUUACGCUUAGGUGCAAACGAAAAUGACCUAAUACCCGACAAAUAAUACGGAGACUUGUAUUAUUUCUCGAACUAAAUAAUAAUUUACUAUUAAAACUGCAGUCUGCAAUAAUAAUAAUAUAAAAAUAACAAUAGUACUAAGAUCACGAAAUCGAAUAAAUACGACGUUUAAAAUUAUUAUUUUCCGGCUAAACUUCAAUCGAGAAUUCGGUUAUGGUCUGCAGGUCGAUGCGAAUAAUAAUUAGAUUAAAAUAUUGUUUCCGAAUAUCUGUGCGUGUAUAUUUCCUACAGAAUCGAUGGGAGUUGCGGUUAAAUGCAAAGCGCACAUGCGCAUAUGUAGGGUCAAAGGGGAUAAUACUUAAAGCUGAGUGAUUGUAAAUCCCACGAUUAGAGGAUUACGUACCUAUACUGCAGGCGAGAGGGAUAACGUUUAAACUUUUAAAACAUUUAUGUAUUGUGAUGCUGCGGACGACGAGGAGACUCAACAAAAGCCACCACCAUCACGUGAAAAUGUUCCGAACUUUCGAAUAAAUAUACACGUAGAGAUACAUUACCGGGUGGGGGGUGGCGGUAGUGGCAGUGGCGGAUUUCCGCUGUAUAUUUUAUAUACUAUUCUACGUCGUUUAAUUUGAGAUCGCAGACGGUGACGCGAACAUAUGUCGUAAGCAUAUUCUAUUAAAAUUGUACAACACUACGAUUUGUCACUGGGUCCAAAAACGAUAUUGUUCUAAAAUUGUAUUUCAAUUUGGUAUACUUAUGCUAUAAUGAUAAAUUCUAAACCGAAAUACCUAACCAAAUCUAAAUAAACAAUCCACACCGAGAAAAUCUGAUUAGAAUCUUUAAUCGGUGUUCAAAAAGAUAAUUUGUGUUUAUAAUAUACAUUUUGAAUACAUAUACUCGUACAGUAUAAAGUUUUUAGAGAAACAAUAAACCGUCGAAAAAAAAAAAUCAGCUACAUCCAAAUUUGAUAUUGCUCUAACAAAGUCAGUGUCCUAUAAGUGAAAACAGUCGUUUAAAAUUACCCACUUCGGAAUGAAAUAAUAAUGGAGGUUGUAAAAUGAAAAAUGCCACGUUGGUCACAUUUUGAUGUAGAAGAGUCGCGUGGCAACAGUAAAAUGUUAUGUCUAGCCGUGUGACGUUGCGGAUUAUAUUUGAAAAAUAUUUUGUACGCGAUUCGAUUUGAUAACUGUUAUCGAAUUAACGAUAUAUUACGGUAAUUCGACAUUAAUAAAUUAUGUUCCACGUCAUACUAUAUAAUACCACUCGUGGAUUGCGAUAUCACUGACCGCGUUUAGUGUCAGAUAAAAUACGUUACGAUUCUCAUAAUCAGCCGUCAUCUUUAUCGAAUAUUGAUGAUAAGCUAAAUUAUACAAGUGCAUUAAAGAUUAUACUAAUAGUUCCAAGGAGAUUCAAUAAGUUUAUCACUUAUCUAUGUUAUUAUUCGCGAAUAGUUAUAUAUUAUUUAUAUAUAUAUAUAUAUACAGGGUGUGUUUCUUUGAGAAGGGCAUCUAUUUAGAGAACAAUUAAAUUUUUAGUUUUUUUCCUUAAUCACACAAAAAAAAAAAAAAAAAAAAAAAAAAAAAAACUAAUAAAAGUAAUGAAUUUACCGUGCUGAUUUUGAAUCCUUAUCGGGUUAUUCUAUUGAAAAUUAAUUGCUUUCUCGCCUAUUUUCUAGACAUUUAAACGGCUAUAACUCACAAACUAUCGAUCGAAUAUGAAUGUAUGAUGUAUUAUUUUUUUUAGAAUGAUAUCUUUUACAAAGUGGCUAUUUUGAAAAUUUUGUAAAGUGAAUAAAUAAAGUUAUUUUAUUUCUCCAGUGGUUAGGGGAUGAAAAUAAAAAUGUAAUUUUUCUCCAAAUAAAUGCCCCUUUCAAAGAAAAACAGAUUGAAAAAAAAAUGUAUUAAUUUUUAAUAGCUCUAGAAAAUCCGUCCAACACGGUAGGACACUCUGUAUAUGGUAUUUUUAAAUUAUUCCGUUUUGUCGCCUGAUUUGCGUUGCAGUCGUCGUGGAUUUAAAUUUGAAUAAUAGUGUCACUAUUAUAUUCUAAAUGCUACCGCAGUAGAAUGUCGUGGAGUAAAGGUCUCCCCCACACUAACCGCCGAUCACAUUAUAGAGGUUAGGUUAGGUUUCUCCGUUCGUGUCGAGACGGCGGCUAUAUUAUAUUAUAUUAGCGUUGAUAAAAUAUUGUUAAGUGUGACGAAAUUAUCGUUGUCGUAUAUACCUACGUUAUAGAUGACGUAGUAUAGAAUAUCGUAGAAGUCACGAUUUUCAAUAAUGUGAAAUGGCUAUGACGUAAUCGGCUGUCUGCGCAGAGCUCCGCGGGCACGAGUCGUUGCACAAGUCUUUUGAAAAUUACAAAUAAGUAAUAUACAUAAUGAACCUAUAUUGUAAUUGGAAUAACGAUUAAAAUAUGUAAGCAGAAAAAAAAAAAAACAAACGGAUAUGCUUCGCACGAUUGGUGGGCCACUGUUGUAGGUGAGAACUAAGGAAGAUAGGGGGAAAAUUUAAUGUAUAUAUAUAUAUAUAUAUAUAAAUAUUUGUACGCAAACACUACUAAUCAAAAACGAUUCUGAGCGGAGGUCGGUUGUACAUGUUUCCAAAGGUCGUAAUAAUUACGAUUUGAAAAUAAUGCAUUUCGUACAUUUUCUCGGAUUUUUCAAUUUAUUGUGAAAACUUCUGGGAAAAUCAAAAAAUUUCCCUAAAGUACCGACCCAGUCAGAUUACCUUUCAGAAAAAGUUUUACACUUGAAAAUCGGUAUGUUGUAUAGUGAUAAGUAUAAGUACCUCUAAUAAGUGGUCACGAGGGGGAAAAUUUCGAAAGAAUAAUCGAGUUUUCUCUUGUAGACUUUGAUCGAUCGGUGAAGUGAGGAAUACAUUCUUGUUUUACACUCGAGGUUUACUACAUAAUUUAUGAUAUGUGAAUUUUUUUUUUUUUUUUGACGCGCAUUUUGCAUAUUUAAGUACAUUUGCCACCUUGAACAUUUUGUUGUUUUAUUAAUGACCGAAAUCUUUUUUAUUUUGUUCCAGGUUAGUAAUAAAAGUGUAUACAAUGCCUACGGGGAUUUGUUCUACGAAAACAAAACGUGUAAGCAAACGUCUUCGAAAGUGUAGUAAGUACAUAUGCAUAUAUACUUGAAAAAUAUGUAUUCUACCGGUGUUUGGAGGCUGAGAUUUUAAUUUCAAAAACUGUUCGUCAUUAGCGUACUAUUAUUUUUAUUAGUAUUUAAGAUCGUUUAACGUUCAAAUCUCUGUUCGACUUAAAAUUCGAUAAAGUUCGUUUAGAACGCGAACAAUUAUUUCGAAAGGUUUUAAAAAUUUUUCUUCUUCUGUUAUCUUUACCGUUCCUUAUGUCUAUGGCCGACACGCGUCAAUUACUAAAAAAAAAUAACAUUUAAAAACUACUUAUGUAUUUUACAGUUGAAAAUCAAUAUGACGUUUUCGAUUUGAAUUUAAUGAAGAAAAAAAUAUUGUAUGACCGAGCAGUCAAAACAGUAGAUACCUAUUUUGUCGACUGUAAUAAUUUAUCGUUGAUUUUGUAAGUGCGGAAAAAAAUGGUCUCGUGUAUAAAUAUAGGUAUUUCUUUAUGACCUUAUUUAUAAUCGUGUUUUUUAUCGUACAUAUGUAGAAGGUCACGUCGAAUUCAUAAAUAUUACGUAUGCGGGAGUCUUAACUUUUCCCUAUCAGGACAGUAGGUAAAUAUAUAGGUAGUACACAAUAACAAUAAUAAAAUACGUUUCGUAAGUUUCCUCGUGUUUUGCUCGGGAGUUAGUUAGGAAUUUAAAAAAAAUGUGUAUUUCAUACGAGUAUUUUUCUAUUAUAUACCCAUACAGUUCGAAUAUAUUCAAAAACGAAUGGAUAUUUUCCGGAUCACUGAAGUACCCAUAGACAUAAUAAUACAAGAGUCGUCAACAAUAGCCAUUUUUCGCACGGACUUUCCUCACGGUUUUUAUAUUUUGUAUUUUAUAAUUGUUUUCUUUUUUUUGCCUAACGAUUGUAUUUCGCUUUAUUAAAAUAUUUUUAUGUAUUUUAUAAUAUUUACUAUGAAAUCGUUUUAAAACGAAUGCAAUUUCGAACGGAAAAACGGUAGGAAAAGUUUGGACGAUAAAUGGCUGCUAUAUCUGCAGUCUUUCACUCUCUUCGGGGGGGGUAUUUAAGAGGGUAGAUUAGGGAGAUACAUCUCGCCCCUUGACAUUUUUAAUAUUUCAAAAUUCAAUAUCCCUCCUUGACAAAAUAUAUCUAGGCUUUCUAAGGUUAUACCCAUACAAUAGUAUUACAACAUUUUGUAGGUAUACUUAUGUUUUUUUUCCCUUUCGUCGUUUAUCGAUGGUCAAAAUUAAAAUCGGUUUUUUUUUCACCCGCGUGUAUAAACUGUGCAACGGUUCGAUUGUACUCGCGUGCAGUAUAUAUAUACUCGUAUGUUCGUAAACUCAUCGCAGCUUUAUUAUGUUCCCCUUUUCCGAUUGUUUUUCAAACGAACCGGAAAUUCUUUCACUCUGUAUACGUUGUUCAUAUAUGGAAAAAUACUAUACAAGUGCAUCACUCGUGUCCAAAUAUCAUAAUAUACCAGUGCAUUAUAAUACGUAUCGCGCAAUAUUAUUAUCGGUCCGCGUAAUAACGGGUCGUAUAAGUUACAAAUAACGCGGGGCCGAGCGUAUAGACGGGGGUCUGGAAGUGAUACGUAGCGCUAUUUCUCUGUAUUAAUAAUAAUACAACAGCACACCUCCCCUUUUACCCCGGCCCGCACUUUUGUGCCCGAAGCGAACACUCGAUAAAUAUAUAUUAAGGGGAAAGGACGCGCGCGCGUGUGUGUGGAAUGUGUGUGUAUGUGUGUGUGUGCGCGCGUGCGCUUGUAAUUUCACUGCUCGGAUAGUCGUAUUAGUAUACAUUAUAGUACUGUCUCCUUAUCUCUGUCUUCCAUUUUUUUUUUUUUUUUUUUUUUAUAAAAAUAUUAUGUUACAAAAUAUUACGUAUCUAUAUAUACGUAUCUCAGUGAUUUUUACGCUCGUUAUUUAGGCGGUAUAUGUAUAGGUAUUAUCUUAAUGUUAUGUAUAUGAGUAUAAUGAGUUUAUUAUAAUGUAUACCUACCUACGUACGUAGUAUUUAUAUAUAUAUAAUAGAAUUCGUACAAAAACCGUUUUAUUUAUUUUGCGUAUCGUCCAGUGGCGCGCGCAGGAAGGGUUAUAAAUAUAUAUGCCUCCCAUCGGCUUAAAAAAAAAAAAAAAAUACAAUGACUGUGAGCAUAAUAUAAUUUAGUAAUUUUAUCUCGAAAUUAAAAUACGUUGCAGCCAUAAGUUAUAAGGACAAAAGAAAAUUGUUCGUUUUAUUGGUUAAAAAUCCGCUUUUUUUUUUUAAUCCGGCUUUUAAAUUCUCAUUGUACGAAGAUUCUACGAUUUAUUCGUGAAUUAUAAUUACUAUUAUUUACUAUACCAUCUCUCAUUGAAAAUUCCUGGGCACGCCACCGGCAUUAUUAUAUCGUUCACAUUAUAAAAUGUACUGCCGUCGAAAGAACAUGGAAAAUGUAUUAUUUAUAUUAGGUACGUAGGUGUAAAAAAAAAAAAAACUCCAUUCUUAUAAAAAUCAUUUAAAAUAAUGUUUUCAAUGUUCAGUAUCUUUUAGAUACAUCGCGUAGAACAAUUUUGGUGAUUUGUUUUUGUCCUAAAUCCACACAAACACUAAUUCUUUGUGUAACGUGCAGUAUGUGAACAGCCACGGUCUAUAACCUAACAUAACAAUCACGUACUUAAUUCUGUAAAAUAUCAUAUUCAAAUUAAGUUUUAAAAGUAAAAAUAUUUGUACAUGGAAAAAAAAUUCAAACCGAUCGUUUUGGGCGUCGUCCGGUCGAGAUUUUUGUUUUACUAUAACAUUGGCGGUAUAGUUACUCACAAUCUUUAUAAUAUCAGAAAUGCGUUAAAAUAAUGGCGCAAACGUCUAAAAGUCAUAUAUUACCCAUUGAAAAAAAAAAUUAUAAUACCUUAUUAUAAAAUUAUUUGGAGCGUUCAAUUUCACAAUAACGGGCAUUCGUCAAAACGGGAUUUGUCUAAAAAACAAAUUUAAAGGUAUCUGUAUAAUGUAUAAUAAUUUUUUGAAGUAUAAACUAUACUUGGAUUAGAGGCUUACGGGUGCGCGUUCGUCCGGCCUCGAAUACCCGUUGUCAGUACUAAUAAAUAGCCUCUCGACUAAACCCCUUAUUUUUCUAACUUGACGUGAAAUAUUUUGAUCGAGUUUAUGUAUUAUGUCAAAUAAAAAUUACUGAACAAAAAUGUUUUUCAUUCGGUUAUUUGCUGGUUGUGACGUGUCACAUGCGUGAUAUAAUUAAAAAAAAAAAAAAAAAAUAUAAUAUACCAUAAUAAUAUUAUAAUUAAAUAUGUUUAUGUAUAAUUAUAUACCUAAAUUAAUUUAAUAAUAUAAUAUAUAAUUUUAUAAUAAUCGAACUAACCGAAGUUAUUGAAUAUCAGUCGUUAUAGUGACUAUAUUUUACAAAUAGUAAUUAAAUCCAAUUAAAUUGUUAUAAUAUUUUUUAACAAUAUUUUAGAUACGUGCGCACCACGAGAAAUUUUUCUUGGGUGUGUCAAGUCCGCAGGAAAUUGUCCAGGAGACAUGUUAUUUAUAAUGAUAAGUGUAAUGUUCCUCCCCCCUCUCCUUCCCCCCCUGUACACUUUACGUUCAAUGUUUAUAGCGUGUUUCCGAAAAGUCACCGUGGCCUACGCAUGCGAUACGGUUAUCAUAUUCGUUGGCUUUUUUGUUUUUUUCCAAAUUUAUAUAAACGAUAAACAAAAAUAUUGGAUAUAUUAUAUGCUUGAACUUUUUACCCGGAUUUUUCUAUAGCCUUUAAACCUUUUCGUACCGUCCUAUAAUAUUAUCUGGGCGUAACGCGCGUAUAUUUCGAUUAACCGGGUCUUAUAUCAUUCAUUAACCGGCCCCGCUGCUGCAACAGAUGGGAUUUUUCUCCCCUCCGCGUUCCUCUAUAAUGUAUAGGCCCACUCCGCCCGUAUACCCGAAAAUACGCGUAUUAUUAUUACGUAUAUACUAUAUUCUCGAAAAUCGUUCGUAUAAAUAUAUUUUUUACUGCACAAUAACGUCUGAAGCGAGAGAGGACAUAAAAUCGAAUGUAUGCGUUUAAUAUAUUACUACUUUAAAAAAAAAAAAAUUAUUAUUUUUUUUUUUUAUUAUUCGAAUAAUAUGUUUUCUCCGUUCGUUGUAUUAUGCACUUAUUAUGUAUUAUUAUAUAUAGUGUCCGCCGCUUCGGGACCGGACUGAUUUAUUUUGGUUUUCGUAAAGAAAAAAAAAAGGGCAAAAAAAAAAACAAAAAAAACUACCAACGAUAAUCGCAUCAUAUAACCGCACGAGUUUCGAAUUUUCGAACGUCACAACGUAAUAUUAUUAUAUAUCGUAGUCAUUCGAGUACUGUUAAUUUCUAUUAGGUAUAGGGUAUAUAUAAAAUAAAAUACAAUUAAAAACACGCCGCCCACGCACGUUUAACGGCUUCUCGGCGUACAGUUCAGUCAUUUGCGGCCGGGUCGCGAGUCAAGAGACUGCCCGUAUACACCUACCACACUAUAUAAAUGUAUAUAUAGUCGGCUAGAGCCGUUCGUCAUUAUUUACGGUAUAAAACGUAAUUUUUCAAGUGCAUUAUUUUUAUACUAUUCUGGUUUCCGACGUUAUAUAGUGCGGACGGUCCGACAAUCAUCACGCGGUCAUCGCAACAGCUGCGCGGCCUCAACAACACGUCAGCUCAUUUGACUGGAAUCGCAAUUAAGCCGCGAAUAGAAAUCUCGAAACGAAAAAUGUCAUUAACAAUUAUUGACUUACGCGCAUACGUAUGAUGAUGACGUGAAUGCGUCGGAGAUGAUUUACACUGAUUCAUUAACGAACCAAUUUAUAUUUUAUUGUCAUGAAAUCCGAAAACAAAACGGAAUUCGUCAUCGACACUUUCCGGUUUGUUUUUUUCUUGCCGGAGAUUUAUAUUUUCAGAAUACGAUAAAAUCUUUUUUCGUAUAUGACGAAUUUGUGUUACGAUGACGAAAAAUUAAAACCACUUUUUGUGACACUGAAAAUUUGUCGAGUAUCGAUGACGUCACCGCGUGCGUGCGAAAGUCACACGAGUAUGAGGAAAUAUCGCCCGCUCGCAAUUUCUUCUCGUUUGUCAUACGCAUUUGAAAUAUUUUCGACCAGUCAUUAAAAACGGUCGCCUUGUACUAUCGUUUAUAAAUAUUUUAAACACGUAUAUACACGUGUAUAAUAUAAUAUUAUAUAUUAUUAUAUAGUUGUAGGUUAGGCGGUUAGUCGAAUCGCAACGAUGUUAUAACCCUCGUAUACAUACACUCGUAAAACUGCAUUGUGGUAGGUAAAAUUUUUUUUCCUCUCGGUAAAUUUCAACUGUGUACAAUAUAAUAUUUACGUGUAUAAUAAAUUUCCACGUGUUUUAUCGCGUUUAUCGUGCAUUGUUGUACGCGGGGUCGUCCAAGACGUUUAUUGUACACACGUACGGUCGUUAUUAUUGAUCGUCGAAUAACCGAAAAAAAUAAGAAAGAAAGAAAAAAGGUGAUGCAGGCUACUUUGUGUCUGUUGCGAGGCGGGUGCGUAUGUCGUGCCGGGUCUUUUGUCGAUUUCUGCGGGGCUUGGAUGUAUCGUCGUUAAACCGUGUACGUAAUAAUUGAAAAUAUCUCGAAGAAUUUCAAAAAAAGAAAAAAAAACAACACGUUAAAACGUGAGAUAGCGCCGAAUAUCUUUGAUAAAUGACCGCGAGCGAUUAUCACGUACGAUCAUAUUAUUGUUGUUAUAAUACUGGAAAAUCGCAAACGGUUGUUUAUUUCGUUGGAAACUCAACAGGUGUCCGGGUUAGUUUGAACACGGUCGCGACGAGGCGUAUUUUUUUCCCAGGAGAGGACAAACUUCUCGGCGUUUAAUAUUUAACAUGAUGAUAUCGUUGUAAAUCUCGCGCGGUUUAGAUUGUUUUAACAAUAUUUUUAGUGGGGAUUGCCGCAGGUGCAGCCGGGGCGUAUAUUUCAGUCGAGUAUCAGACAAAACACUGUAGCAUUUCGUGUUUGACAGAUAUCAAUAUUUUUAAAUCGGAUUAUGAUUCAUUAUUUGAUUCAUCGUUACUAUAGGCCGGUGCAAUAGAAACGUAGCAAUUAUUUUACUGGAAAACGUAAAAAUUGAUUGUAUUUUCGAAAAUGUAGAUAAAUGUGUAUUUCGCCUUUUAACUUAUUAUGACGAUGAGAUAAUUCAAGGAAAAAAAAAACAAUAAUUCCGACGUAUAUAGUAAAUAAUAACCUAGAAGAAUGUAAUACGUUUUCAAAAUUUAAAUCCGUCCGAACGCAAUUCCUACCGUUUUGUCUGGCUUUUCGGUAUAAAACGCAUAAAAAAUGCAUUACCCGUUUAAUGGACAGUAAAUUAACGCCAAAGCCUUAUUAAGAUGACCAUUAAAAUGUUUACGAAAUUGAAGAACAUUUGGCAAACCGUCACCGAUCCUCUUAUUAUAAAUAUUUGUAUAUACAAAUUACCUUUAAUCGUUUUCUCCGAAAUUGCGUUUUGGAGCCAGCAAACAUUUUUUUUUUUUUUUUUUACAACUUAAUUUAAACGUUAUUAUUUAUUCGUCAUUUCUAGAGCGCGGAUUUUUAUGUAAAAACAUGUUUUUAAUGGAUAUAUGCACAAUCAUUAGAGUAAGGUAUGUCAACGAUUCACAGUACAAAGAAUCUGAAUACAAAAUUGUAUUUUGCAUAUAUAAGUGCAUAUUUUGAUGUUAAGAGAAUAUAUUCAUAUAAAAUCAUUUUUUUUUUUUUUUUUGCAUAUUUGACUAAUUAAAGAUUUAUGAAUUUAAAUAUUUUCAGGAAUUAAAAAAUUAUGUAUAUUUCAACCGGUGUGAUCAAUUUUUUCUAUUUUAUAAUAACUUAUUAAUGGGUACAUCCUACGAUAGGUAGUUUUUAAUGUCAUUACGAUUUGAUAAUUGGCAAAUAAUAAUGAAAUGCGAAAAUUAUUAUUUUACUGUUUAUCAUACUACGAAUACGGUAAAUGAUGUUGAUACACGUUCUGCUAGUCGAAUUUUUGAUAUCUAGUUAUCAUCUAGUUAUCUAGUUAUCUAGUUACCUGAUAACAGCUACCUACGGCCCGAAUAAUUGAUAAUAAUUUGUUACUGCGUAAAUCAUAACAUGUUUUCCUCCAGUGAUGACGAGUUUUUGUUUUGUAUUCAAAGUCUAAAAAAAUUAAAAAUCAUUUUUUUUUUAUACUUUUUGUCUGUCGUGCUUUGAUUUACAAGUUUUAAUUUAAUAAAAAGCCGAAAUAACGAUCUAAAAAAAUGAGUUUAUUAUUAUUUUAAUAAUGUUAUUGAUUUUGUUAAUUAUUAUUUAUUAUAUUUGUUUUGCGUAUAAGUAUAUAUUUUAAUGUUAAAACAGUAUAUUAAUAAAAAAACAUAUUUUUGCAUAUUUUAAUAAAAUUUUUAUUAAUAUUUCUAUAAUAUUAUCGUAUACAGGUGUUUCAAAGAACAUUUGACAAAUGCAAUAACCAUUGAAUUUCUACAAUUUUUUUAAUUUUAUAAAAAUCACUUUAUUCAUAAACAAAUUUGGUGAAUCGAUUAAUGUAUUAUAAUUUACAAAUGGCAAUUGAAACAAUUUUAAUACUUUAUAUCAUAUUAAACACUUAAAAAAAUAAUGUCUACUAUUAACGGCUCGUCAACUAAUAACACAAUAACGUUACAUUAACAUUUUGUUUCAAAAUAAAUUUACAUGGACCAUCUUGGAUUUUGUAAACAUACAUGUUUAACAAAUUUAAAUUUUAAAUUUUUUUGUUUUAAAAAAAAUGUAUAUAAAAUAUAAUAUUCAUAUAGCGCAAGGCUUUAAGUAAUUAUUACAAAAAAUAAAACAAUAAAAUUGCACGAAAUAUCUAAUAGAACAAAAAAAUGUUAUUGCAUUUAUCAGAUCUCCGCGGGACACCUGUGUAAGUUCCCCAUUGAAUGCUUGGUUUUUUUUCCUUCAUUUUUCGGUUUAUAAAUUUAUCCUUCAUAUUUGCUUGACUGGGUACACAAUAUUAUGAGCGGUUUUCGUGAUUUAUAUAUCGUACGUGUACACUGCAGGAAAAACUGCCAAGGUCUUUCUUAUACCAUUGAAACACCGUGACCGAUAUGUACGUCUGCGAAGAACACGAUGACUACCAUGACGGUCAUCAAUCGUUUAGAACGAAACAGUCGAACGAUAAUAAAUUAUAUUAUUUAUUAUUAUUAUACGUUUCGAAAUAUAGGUUUUUUUUUUCUCGAAAAUUAGAACAAUAAUUUAUUCUGAAAUUAUUCCCUAUUACCUACUGUAAAAAGGUCGAAAAAAAAAUUGUAUUGUAUAGUUCGUAAUAAUAUAAUCAUAUUAUUAGCAAAUCAACUAGUUUAUCCAUCAUUUAGACCUAUUUAUUAUUUUUCACGUAACGAGGUUGAUUAUUUCGUCGAUCCUCGUCAUUAGUUAGAAAAGUACAAAAAUCGUGUUACGUUAAUUUUUAAGGAUGUCCAUUUUUCCGACGAUUUUGAUUAUAAUAUCCUCCUCGUAUAUUCCAAAAUAUAAUCACUAUAAUCGUUAUUUGCGAUGAUUUUCGAAGUAAGUAUAGAUAAACAAACACUGUCAUAUUGACCGCACGCCUAGUUAAGUGAAAGGAAAUCAAUGCGGUAUACUCGGAAUUUAAUCAGAGAAUCUAUUAACAUUUUUUCAUCACGACUUUACGACCAAGUAAACAGGUGCAGGAAACAGUCCAAUAAGGCUUGACAAAAAUAAACGCACAUGGAAAAUAUAAAUAUUAUCGACACGAUUAGUCGUACCUAUAACUAUUGAGUUCUAUAUAACUGAAAAACAUAUAUUUUGUUCGUUAAACGUUUGAGAAACACGUUGAUGCUUAUAUUAUAGUGAUAACGAAAAUGCAUUUUUUUUCUGGCCUUACUAUUGCGUUUUUCGCAAAAUAUUAGCUCAAAGUAUUAUACACGUAUAUUGUUAAGAUCAAUACUUAAUAUUGAAGGUAACACCAAUAGUGUCGCAUAGCGUAUAGAAUAUAAUUUGAAACCGUGCGUGUAUGUAGUUGAAUAAAUUACAUUAUUGACCUGAGAUUGGUGGUUGGUGCUCGCGGGUUUAUGCCGAGGUUUACACUGCAGCGUUGGGUAUAAUACUAAACGCAUAAAAUAUUGUGUGUACAUACUUGCCCUGCACAAUGGCCAUUAACGAUUUCUGGUGAAUUUGAUAUCUAACUGUGCAGUACUUUGUCUUGGAUUUACAUUUACCAUUAUAUACGAAUAUUACAAUACACGUCGGAUAUUUCAUCGUUUACGUCAAGUAGUGUUCUUGAAAGGGGCGAUAUCUCGUCAUUAUGCACCUGCGUCGCGGGGUUCGUCUAACAGACUACCUACCGAUCGCGGCGCAAUAAACGCGGAUGGAUCGAGGGGGUGUUAAGUUCGUGUGUUCCUACUCUCUUAGACGUAUCCGAUAUCCUCGGUCCGACAGAAAUAAUAUAUGGCUAUACCCAGUAACGUGUCCGAAUCCUAUGCAUAAGUAAUGAACCAUAACUCCGGUCAGGGUUAAAUUGAUCGCGGUGCCAUUUGAAUUAUGUAAUGCAAAAAUGUAUUUGUUUAUCAUUUUCUUCCCGAUUCAAUAGUAUGUGUACGGGUUGACUUUAUAUGCCCUACGCUGCAGAUUUUAAAUGUUGAGGUGCGGUAUUUUUUGUAAUAGUUCUAAAUAUUUCGUUUUCUGAACACGUGUUUCAAUUAUAUUUUCGUUCACGUAGUUAAACUGCAGUUUCAUAUAGUCGUCUGCUUAAAAUUUAUGUAGACGAAACAGUCAAUGUAUAUAUACGAGUAUAUGUAUGUAUAUAUUUUGAAGUAGGCACUGAUUGAUAAUUACUUUAACCCUCGCGUCUCUUUGAGUGCGUAUUGGGUGGAACACGAGCUAUUUAUGUGUUACACCUGGGACCGUUCUUCGCGGAUCGGUCGGAUUCUGGUAUUAAUUAACCCUGUCUCAGAUACCGCAGUAGAAUGUGACACUCCCUUAUAAACUCGCUUAUUCUACACUACCACUAUAUAAUAUACUCUUUCUCGCCCGCUCUGACUGAGAUUUUAAUAAACGAGGAGACCCGUGUGAUAAAUCACUUUGGAGGUUAAUAAUUUUAAAUUGGGCUUCAGCAGCAGGUACACUGCAUGAUGAGAUAAUGAACGUGUUGGCGCAGAUUUGUCUUGAUGGUUAAUUUCAUUAUUUUGGCCGUUCCGUCGUCGUAUUCCUGCAAACUGACAAAACCGGCUGUGUAAAAUAUCUUUUUAUUAUUACUAUUGGUUAAUCGUUUGCGGUAGGUAUUCAAGGGUAAAAAGACUAUACGGUCUGUUCAGACUAUGUAUAUUUUGUCUAUUUGUAUUGGCUAUACAAAUGUAAGUAGCAGGAAUCGGACGAUAAAAGGCGGAUGUGUGCAGUGUAAACCUACAGCGUUCGUAUUGGAUCAGGAAGUGGUGGUACUUAUCCACGUCUACGAGUAUAGCGGAUGAAUCCGAGUGAGAAUAAAUUAUGUAUGUAGGCACGUCAAGAAAAUAGGAAACGAUAUAAGAUUGCCAUAAAGGCGGCCGCGGUGAGAGACGGGUGUAGCUGGAAGCCGGGAAAGAGAUUGACCAAAGAAAAAGUGGUUAUAGAUGGAAUUUAAGGGCGAACGGAGUAUUAUAAUAUGAGGCGAAUAUAUGCGAUAAACAAGGAGAUGUGAUAAGCCAUAACUGCAAGAGUAUAGUUGACCCACCUCCCGUAAAGUAUAUUGGUAUGUAUUUGGUGUAAUAUUAAAUAAUAUAAUAUAAAAUAGGAGGGAUCUAAUGGAAGUCGUGUACAAAUUUUAAUUAUAGUGUAAUUGAAACACUCUGUAUACAUCGGUAUACACAGAGUUAUGAAGUACCUAUCGAGAUUGAUAAAAAUCACCAUAUUAUAUACUUUAAAGUCCCUCCUUAAUGGUGAUUGGAAUAAAUAAGUGUACCUAGGUAACAUAUUAUUUAGUCGCACAUUAUAUUAUUUUGUAUUCAUUACUGAUAUUAUUUCCCGUUUACUAUUCAUUGCGUGCCGUAUAAUAAUAAUAUUGGCUUAUUCGUUAUUAGAUCAAAAUCGUUAGCCGUAACGGUCAAAUACAAUAUUAUUAUGAACACUCGUAUUUAUUAGAAACAAUACACUCUAAAAACGUUAUUUAUAACGACUUUUAUAAAACUCAAAAUUACGAUUUAAAUAAAAACUGAUUUAAUGGUAUACGAAAAAAAAUGACUAAAAAAUUGACAUAUGCGUUUUUGCUCCUCUAAAUCUUGCAGUGUUGACCGUCUCUGGUUCGAAACUGUUUUUUUUAAUAUGCACUUAUCCAUACUUAACCCUCUCCGUAACGUGAGCAUGUUUGACCACUGUGGCCUUUAUAUGCGGAGGGAGGGAAAUAUCUCUUCGAAGGGUCCCUGUUUUUAAUAAAAUAUGGAUCUUUGUAUGAUAUUGUGACAAUAUCGUUUUUUAAGAUGUCGGUCGGUCAAGGUUAGAUUAGGCUAUACAAAUUUCAAGAUUAACGGUUAUAAAGUUUAUUUAUGAUUUCCAUUAAGUAGAUAUACUUGGGUACAAAUUAUUGACAAAUCGUCUCUACAUUGGUUGUCUUGUUAAAUAUAUAUUUAUAUCUAUAUACACGUUUAUAAAGUUCUCGAAGAAUAGAUUUUAUAAUUUUCGAAAUUGCGUCGUUUUGGUUUGAUUUUUCUGUAUUAUAUUUUUAAUUUCUUUCCGUCGUCUGUUGGAUUUGAAGUAGAGUGAAAUAUAUAAUUCGUCUGUGCUUUUCGUAAAGUAAACGACGAUGACGACGACGCGACGGAGUAAACAGAAAUUGCACGCUUAAUUAAUUUGGUAUACAAAAAUAAUGUCAAUUUUCGAAAUUUACAUUAUUAAAACGGAUUUUAUUAAACGCAAAAUAUAUUAGAGCAUGCCCACGUAACUAUAUAUUUGAUAAGUAAUCUAUGAAUAAUUCAUACCUAUUUAAUAAAAUGUAUAGUAAACGCGUUUUUUUUUUUUUUUUUUUUUUAUCGUUUUUGAAGAAUAUAAUAUAAUUUGAGAUUUUUUCGGUGGUUGUUGUUGUUGUUGCUUCUGUACGCGUCAGUCUAAAACAUUUUCGAUUACCUAUACCUAUAUACUUAUACCCACUAAUAACGGUGCACAACAUUAAUAUUAGGACGACGGACAGGACCCCAUUUGCUUUGUAUAUAGUUUGUAUGUAAGUAUACGUAAUUACCCGCCUUAUCCCCGUAAUGGAGUUAAUCUGAAGGCUAUUAUAAUGGGUCCCGAUAACCGUGAAAGAGUAGAAGGAUAAAGUGUCCGGGCGGUAAACCGCCCAAUAUGUCACUAAAAAGAACAUUAGUCGUCGGAGUCGAUGUUAGAAAAUCUUUUCGGGUCGGCUUGCGAUUCGUUUUUAAUCUCGCGCGUGUCUACUUAUGAAUGUGUACCUAUUUGUAAUGUUUACCGCGCUAUAGAAUUUUUAGUCGUUUCGAAUUUGUAGCCCCGACAAAAUAAAAUAUAAAUCGAAAAAUCGUAAUGCGCCGCACACCGAACGAUUUAACCGAGUGCGGUAUCCGCAGUGUUUAAAACACGUGUACCUAUUAUACAUCGGCAGAACACGCGCACUACCCGACGACAUUUCGAUUGCCUAACGGCAUUUUAUCGUUAAUUAUAAAACGUCACUGUUUUCGAUUUAUUGUUAACUGUUCGUUCAAUUGCAUAUAAUAAUAUCCGAUUUUUGUGAUCGUGCCGGGGGAAUUUACACAGUUUUUUUUUAAAAUUAUUAUACGACUUUUAAAUGGUUACAGACCGGUUGAAACGCCGCCGAACUAAAUAUUUGAUUUACGAACCAUAUAGAAAUAAAUACAGCAUCCUGUCCCUAUAUAAAAUGUAUAGAUAAUUUGUACAGGGUGUGUACAUAAAAAAAAUAAUACAUUCACAAUUUACAUGUACAGGGACCGUGGAGUGUAACUAUAUAAUAUAAGAACUAUUAUAUAGACAUUUUAUGGGCCGUGUAAAAUGCGGGUCGAGUCAACGUGUGCGUCGUAAAUGUUAAUGCAUGAUAAAAAUAAUACUAUAAUCCAUAUUCAUUGUGUUACGAUAUUGCCGUUACAAAAUUUAUCUGUCCAAACGAUCGCGUUCGUUUUUAUUGGAUUUAUUGUCACAUCAUUUACUGUACAAUAAAAUGUGUUCAGAGUUUUCUCAAUUUUUACAAUUUAAUCUCUAAAAAUUAAAAGGUUACCCGCUUUUUCAAAAAAAAAAAAUAAAAUAAAAUAAAAACCACCCAAGUUAUUAUUUAGUGAUGAUUCUAAGUUUUUUCUUUUCAAAUGUAUACAAUUUUCUCCACGGUAUUAUCGUAAAAUGUUACCAACCUAUUAAACCGUCAUAACAAUAGGCGUAUAGUAUAACUUUUAAGACAAUAGACGGCACGUGUAUAGGUUGGUAAAUAUGUCGGGUAUUUAAUAUAAUAUUCUAAUACGUCCGGUCAAAAUUAUUAGGGUAUAAACUAUAAAUUUCAAGUUUUAUAUAUACGGUCACACUGUAUGUAUUAUAUAUCUGCUACACGAGAUUAACGUUAUGUAUAAACGAUGAAUUUUUGAAUAAAAUAUAUCAUCUUCUUCUUCAGGGUACAAAACGGUCUCUAGGACCAACUCUUCAAUGAUGUGCCUUCCAAUCUGAUCCUUCUCCUGUAUAGUUCUUCCACGUUUUUUUUAAACUAUAUCUUCCCACCGUCAUCGGUCUUCCAAUGGGUCAUUGCCCUGUCAAUUGAUUUUCCAACAUUACAUGAAGUAAUGUGUUUCGGCUCUUCCAGACGUUUCCCGCCCAUGAUAGUCUCUUAUUUCUGAUGGCCGCUACGGUCUUCUGUCUCUGUUGCAGCAAUUUUACUUUAUUAUCGUUGGUUUCAGCGUCUGUUACAGUUCCAAAACACGUUCUCGGGGUUCUAAAAACGAGAAGUCGGUUUUCCGGACCGACCGAGUCCUGCCCGCUCUUAAUUAUCAGUAUAUUAUAACGUACACACGCCGUUAUAACGUCAAAUGCAUUUUUAUAUUAUUAUUGUUAUAAAACUCGUCGUAUUCGUAUACAAGGGGUAGACAUGUCGUACGCAGCCAAUAAUCGCGAGUCGUUUAUUUAACGUGAUAUUUAUUAUGUAUAGAGUGGCCGGCCGUGGUGAUUAGGUACACGAGUACACAUAUAUAUAUAUAUAUAUCGUAUACAGUACAAACGAGGAUUCAUAAAUGUUUUAAACAAAACGGUCGACGCCAUAAUACAGCGGCAGAUAUAUUAGCGGUAAUAGUAGUAGUAGUAGUAGUAGUAGUGGCGGAAAUAUGGGAUCAGAUUAGGGCAGCUUUGAUAAAUAAAUAAAAAAAAAUCCGCUCCCAUUAAGUAUACGCGCUUUUGCAAAGACGAGCGGGCGGUCCAAAAAGAGAGAACACAUGUUCCAGACAAAUUGCAAAGGGGUCGUAUAGUCGUGUGGAUGUAUACAUACGCAAACACACACACACACACACACACACACGUACAGUCUGUUAUAUAUAUAUGUAUAUGGUAAAACGAAGAGGGACGGAACUAAGCCAUUGUGCGUAUAGUGAAAACAUUGACGGUCUACAGCCUCAUACAUAAAUCAGCAGCAUCGUACCGAUAAAUCGUCUACCCCCCCCCCACGAAUUACCCAGUCGUUAUUUAGGUUAGUUUCGAAGUCUACUAGGAGCGGGGCACGCAUAUAUAACACGUUGGAUUAUUAUUAUAUACACGUUUAUACGCUUAAUUUGUAUAGUCCGCGAUGACUGAUAAGACGGAAUCGAGAUACGAGUUUUUGUAAUACUCUCGCGUCGAACCGAACACACAACCCCCCCCCCCCCCCNCCCCCCCCCAUCGUAUAAUAAUAAUAAUAAUAAUGUGGACACGAUAAUAACGGCGGGAGCUAAGCAACGGCCUUUGUCAUGUGUACUGUUAUUAUUAUACGAGACUGGGUAUAAUUUAUUGACGAUACGCGACGAUAUUAUUUCGUAUACUCUCAAACGCCGCUGCGACGAUAACGACAAUAUAACAUUUUUACGGCCCUGCAACGACAUCUACAAUGCAACUGUUGAGUUUCAAUUUAUUAUUCGACCAUUCGUUUACGACGGUAUUCGUAUCACAGUACUUACCCAUCAUUUUAUCGAAUAUUUAUCCCUGUCGACGCCCGGAAGGCUGAGGUUACCUGCAUUCUUUCGCCUAUACGAAGUUUCGUACUCGCGUGAAACCGAUCAUUUCUUCUCGUACAUACCGAAUUUAAACAAAUAACCGAAAUCGAUUUUGACACGACGUUCCCGUUUUUUUCCGACAGUGACGCCGCCCAUCGUUCCCCUCCCCGUUAUUAGAUAAAAGCAUACAAAGAUUUCCGAACAAACGACAAAACCCCGGCGCGCCGACUAUAAAUCUAAAACGCAACAAGAAUAAUUGACCUAGUCGUCUUCUGGGCGAAAACUUGUUCGCAGAUAGAGAGAGAGAAAAAAAAUAAAACAAUUAUGUAAAUUACGUACGUACACGUCCACUAUUAUAAUAAUAUAAUUCUGUCCUUAUUUGAUCGGGACCGAGAGAGAAUAAUAUGAGAUAAAAUGUAAAAUAAAUAAGUUUUAAAAAAAAAAAAAAAUCACGAAACGAAACAAUUUGCGAAUAGAAAAAAAAAAAAUACACGGUCGGAUUAGCUUAUAUUUUUCUCGUCUUUUGUAAAUUGUUCGCGCCGCUAAAAAAGAUUGAUUAUCAUAAUAUUAAAAACAUUAUUUUCUUCUAUUUGUAUUUUUCUCUACAGUCUGUGUCCGCAUAGUAGUAGUAGUAGUAGUAGUAGUAGUAGUAGUAGUAGUAGUAGUAGUAGUAGUAGUAGUAGUCGUAGUAGUAGUAGUAGUAGUAGUAGUAGUAGUAGUAGUAGUAGUAGUAGCAGCAGCAGCAACAACAGUAUAUACAGUAUAGUAGCAAUAGCAGCCAGUGCCUUUAAUUUGUUUCAUAAAAGACCCCGCGCGCGUUGUACAGUAUAGCACUAGUGUUGUUGUUGUCGUUAUUUAUUAUUGCGCAAAUACAAGGGUUAGACCGGAGUCGUUAAAACUUCAUUAAUAUUGAUAGUAUAUAGUGUAACGUCUUUUUAUUCUUUCCCCGCCGUUUGAUGUGUGUGUGUGUGUGUGUGUGUGUGUGUGUGUAUAUUUGUAUGUAUAAAAUAUACGAUUGAGCUGUAAUAAUAACGUAUACGAUUGUAGUUUCUUUGACAAUCGGAUCAAAUUAACACGAUUAUCGCCAUAUGAUUAACGAUGAAUAAAAAAAAAAAAAAAAACCCGAGACGAAUAACGCGAAGAUACUCAUUGUAUCGGUAUGGCGAGUGUUGUUGAUGGCGUGGGCGGACGGUCCGUAACAGUUUCCUCCGUUAUCACAACACCGGAAAGAAAAAUAGAAACCGUUCUUUUUUUUUUUUCCACGAAAAGCGUUGAUUUAUCGUAAAUAAUGACGCGAAAAGUUCCUUUUUUUUUUCCACAAUACCUGUUUUUGCUUAUAUCAUAUUUUGAUCGACUGUCGUAACGGGUGUGCGAGGGGAGAGGGCGUUGAGGAACGCGUAGUCCGUUUAGUCGUAUGUCUGCGGUUUAUAUGGCGACCCUUCGCGCUUAUUUUUCGUACACGCCAAUUUGGCGCUACUGAUAAUAAACUGCACGAUACACCUGCAGUCCCAUCAUUCCAUCGUAAACCGUGCGUAAAACACGCAAUAUCGAUGGCUCGAAAGUUGUUAUGUCGGUUUAUAUUUAUUAUUUUUUUUCGCUCUCUAAUCAGGCCUCGCAAGUCUGUCGCCGGUUACGUGUGUUCUUUAUUCCUUAUUCCCGGGAGCUCGAGGCGUUCUCUGACUAGACCGUUCCGCCAUUGUCUUGGUCUUCCUCUUAGUAUUUUCACGAUUCCGCAAUCUUGAUCUUUGCACGAACAUAAUAGUUGACUCUCUGCCAGCCAAACGUACCCCGCCGAUCCUCUGGCUUUUAAAAAUUCCCGUUAUAUAUCCGGCUCAUUAAACAUCGCUCUCAACUUUGAAUUUGUCUUUUGUUAACAUAUGUAUUCUUCUCAUAGUUUCUAUCGGGCCAUUUAUUUUACGUACGACAUUUUUCUUUAGAUAUUAUUAAUCUCUUUUCGUCAGACUUGGUGGAUGUUUACGCUCCGCACGCGCGCGUCUUGAUAGUAUGUAAUCUUAUUUUUAUUCUUUUGGACAGUCUCAUUUCGACUUAAUGUACGAUGAUAUUAUAUAUACAUAUAUUUUUUUUUUUCCAAAAUUGAUUACUAUCUGCCAAAUAUUUUACAAGUCUAACGCCAUUUUUUUUUAUAAGGAACUUAUGUUUAUUUUUGAUUUCAAUUAUUGUGUUUUCGGAGAGUUCUAGCUACGCGUUUUUUUUUUUAUUCAUUAAGAUUACACGUCCAGAAAUAAUGGUAUACACAUAAAAUUGCUCAUUAAAAAAUUAUAUAUUUUUCAUGAUAUAAUAUUAAUAAUACUAUAUAAUACUAAACGCACAAAAAUACCGUAUGCAGAUAGGCACUUGUUAUUUUUUGUCUGAGUUAAGUCAUCAAUUUUGCAAACAUUUUAAUGCAAUCAAAACCUAUUAUAAUUUCAUGUUUAAAAUUAGCAUAAAUAUGUAUAUAUUGUAUGCAUAUGUAAUUGCUAUGUAUCAUCCAACAAGUCCUUUUUAAUUAAUUAACGAAAAACAUUAUAAAUAAUAUAAACAUACUAAUAGAUUUGAAAGAACUAAAAUGUUUUUUUUUUUUUUUUUAAUACACCCACGUUAUCCACUUAUCCUUUUGAAUAGGAACUAAUAAAACAAAAUCUGUUAAAUUAUUUACGUGCUUUUUUUUAAUAACGAUUUGUUUUUUUUUUGUUUCAGGUAAGUUAUUAUGAAUAUUUGAUAUGAAUUUUAUCAACGAAUACAAAAUGCAAGCUAAGCCCCGUCGAAAUCGUAUGUACACCAUAACCUAUAAUCAAAACUAAACCUAUGACCUAUAGCAAAACCAAUAAAUUAAACCUCUUUUCGGAAGCCAAAAAUAAUAUAAGUACUGUAUAUAUAUAGCUCUUAUAAUAUGGUAGAGACCUUUAGUGAAAUUUUAAUCUAAUAACAUUAAUUUUCUGUUCACGCAGUUCAUUGUCUAUUAUAAUUAGAAAAUGUUUCGCAUCAAAUACAAUAAGAAUUCGUGUUUUUCCUCUUACACUCCCCGGUAAAUAAAAGGUUCAUCUCCCUGGCACCCGUAAUCGUAUCUAUUUGGAACUAUUUGUAAUCCUUUUUAAAAAAAAUUGUAUCCUCUUCAUUUUCCUGUAACCGAGAUCACGGUCUCCUCAGUACCCGUAUUUAAAAUGCCGUUUUACAGGAAAAUUAAGAGGUUACACAUUUGUUUAAAAGGAUUAAAAAUGGAUAUAAAUUAGAUACAAAAAAAUUAUAUCAACCCAAAGUCGAUACGGUAAUUUUUAGGGAAAACUCAAGUUAGGUCCUU